AGCCAUCGCCAAGUGCAUGGUGAAGCUUGAAUAUUAGGUUACCAGCGGCAUUGGAAGUUGGAUAUUUGACUAUGUGAACUUCCCACAGUGGUUUGUCUUCUGGGUAAUUUUCCAGUACUACUUUUGAUAUGUAGUCACCGAGAUAAAGGUCGUAAGACUCAGAUGACAAUACCCCAGAGGGAAAAAUAGGGACGUGAACAUGAUCUGUGAGCUUCACCUCAACCUUCUUCCAUUGUUUCUCUCCGUCGACGUCAACCUGCGGAGGAUUUUUCAAAUUUAAUAUUAAAUUAGUUUCCUAAUUAUAAUCAUUACCAUGAUAGGAAAAAGUGUUUUCUAACAUUCAAAAGCAAUUAUAACUAUUUUUGGCGAAAAGAACUUCAAAGCAUUUAAAUUUUUAAUAAAAGUUCACAUUUCUAAUAAAAGAAUUUAUAUGUAUGUUAGAAGUGUCUUUUAGAUAAGCAGUUUCAAACAGACUUUUAAUUCAAUUUGAGUAAUUAUUUAGUGUAAGGACUCUAAGUCUUUAUUUUGAGUUUCUACUGUACGUUUUGAGUUCGAAAAACUCCCCUUCCCUCUCCGUUAAUAAGUAUAAAUUUAAAAGAAAAAAAUUUGAUAUAUAAUUGAGAUGUUUAUGACUAAAUUUCGACAUCUCAAAUAAAAGCAUAUGAACAAAAUUGAGUGAGAGAGAGAGAGAGUACCAUGAUGGAGCAGAAGCGUGGGUUGAUGUGGAGGAAGACAUCCUGAAGGAAUGACAUGAUCUUUGAUUCAUCGAUUGGAACCUCAGAUUCCAAAACACCAAGAACUGACAUGGAUAACACCGAGGUAUUGAGGCAUUGCCCAGUAGGACUCACCGGCUCAUUGUAAUAAUCUCCAUCAUCAACCUUAAUAAACUCCAUCUUUUUUCUCUCUCUGUCUACGUUAACAACAAAUUGUAGUGGUUUAGUUCAUUUGGGGUUGCUGCAUGCAUCUUAAUUUAUAGGGUAUCUCUUACGCACGAAUGUGAGUAAAAUGGUCAUUUGAUUCAAUUAAGAUAUGAAAAACGACAAACUAUCAAGCAAAGGGACCCAUUUUGUUAGUCUAGUCGCUUUAUACAGUCCUCUAAGAAAUUAAGAACCCGAUGUACGUAGUUGGUGGUCAAUGUUUAAAAUGUUUUAAUUACUAAUAAUUUGCUAUGCAUUUUUAUCGUUGUUCGCACAUGUCGAGUAUUAAACUGUCCAGCCGAUGAGAAAGAAUUGUAUGGAACAGAUACAUGGUUACAUGAUGUUUCGUGCAUUAUAAGAACAUGUGAUUUUUUUUUUUUUUUUAGUAAUACUAGGGAAACUAAAUUUGUAGACAAAAUUUGCAAACUAAAUAAUGUGUCACAAAUAGAAAUGAACACAUUUAUCAACGCUCAAGUAAUAAUCCAAUCAUCAACUUCCAUGUCAUUUAGUUUACAAUAUUUUGUCUACAAAUUUAGUCUCUCUAGUAUUACAUUUUUUCACAUUAUUAUACUGACCACACGAGGAGAAGGACUUGUAUGGCACGGGUACACGUGGUGUAUUGUACCAACAGUACAAGAACGUGUGUUUGUUUUUUACAUAUACUUUUAUGUUAUUAGCACGAGACGCCACCAUAACAAUGAACCAGUGCCAUAUGCAAGUCUUUUCUUAGGCGAGGCGACCCACUAACUAAUUAAUAUAUGGGACAACCUGUUUGGAAUCCCCAUGAAUAGGAUCAAACCUUAUUCCAUGGUAUUUACAUUGAGAUUUUUGUUUCUUAUUCUUAAACAAAUCCUCGAUAGGGCUUAGUUGGUUACCUUUUCGUUUGUUUCGAGAAAUAUUGCUCCAUGAUUCAAACUCAAAUAUAGUUCCGAUGGUAAAACUUACGAUCAUUAAUGUUUUUGGGCGAGCAAAAUUUUCAAGAAAAAGAAUCGGCUCCUUAAGGAUUGAGGAAGCACUACUCCUCUGAAGACACCUUGUAGCGAAUUCAUAAAACUUUAUGCUUAUAAUCGAAACCGUUUAUAUUAUAAGUAACUAUUUAAAGGUUAUCCCUGCAAAAAAUUAAAAAAUAUGUGAUCAUUUGGCAAUCGAACUGUAUAAAAACAAAUGGUCUGUAUCAGUAAAAGUAUUAUGAACUUUCUAUCUAUUCACUAUUAUGAAUGACUAAAUGACAAUGGUUUUAAUUGAUUUUUUUACAGAACUAAUCUUUACAUAGUGACUUAUAAUAUGAACGGUUUUGAUAAUAAACACGCACAAAGUUUUGCAAAUUAGUCACAAACAUUGGCGGAGCUAUAAUUUUACGUGAGAAUAUGCCUCACAUAAAUGUUAAAAAAAUAAAAUAAAUAGUUAUAAGAGAGUAGUAGUUGUGAGCUAAAUAAAUAUUUUAGCACUACAUGUUUGUUUUCAUGUUGAAUUAACCUUCCAAUAUCAAGUCGACAUAGAGAGUAAUUAAUUAAAAAUUAAAGAGGAUUAAGAGAAAUUAAACUCCAAUAUCAACUCAAUGAAAAAUGAUAGGAAGACCAGGUUUAUAGACUAUAUUUGGAGAUUACAUUAUGCAGCGGUUAAUAAUUGGAUUUCUUCUUUAAAGCAUUAAAAAAAACUUAUAUGGAAUAGAAACAUCGUUACAUGGGGUCUCGUGCAAUAUAUUUGUUAGUUUUUUUUAACAUUAUACUAACCAAGCAAGGAGAAGGACUUAUACGUCACAAGUACUCUUCCAUGCGGUGUCCUGUACCAAUAGAACAAGGACAUGUGUUAGUUUUGUUUUCACAUAUUUUUAUGUUAUCGGCACGGAACGCCAUGAUAACAACAAACCAAUGCCAUAUAUCUACAUGUCUCCUCUUACGCGAGGAGAGCCUCUAACUAAUUAUUAUAUGGGACAACCUAUUUGCUCCAUGAUUCAAACUCGAAUAUAGUUCACGCAGUAAAACCUUACGAUCAUUAAUGUUUUUAGGCAAUCAAAACUAUCAAGAAAAUGACUUGGCUGCUAAAGGAUUGAGGAAGAACUCAUUCUCAGGACACUUUGUAGCCAAUUCAUAAAACUUCAUGCUUGUAAUCGAAAUCAUUUAUAGUAUAAAUCACUAAGUAAAUAUUAUCUUUCAAAAAAAGUGAAAAAUAUGAGAUUUUUUGGUCAUCAAACUAUAUAAAAAUAAAUGAUCAAUAUCAACAAAGGUAUUACGAACUGUCUAUCUAUUUACUAUUGUUGAAUGAUUAAACGAUAUAAAUUUUAAUUCGUUUUUUACAGAACUGAUUUUUACAUAGCGACUAUAAUAUGAACAAUUCCGAUAAUAAAUACGAAGUUCCACAAAUCGAUCACAAACAGUAGCGGAGUUAGAAUUUUAUGCAAGGAUAUGCCUCACAUCAAUGUUAAAAAAAUAAAAUAAAUAGAUAGCAUUUACAAGAGAGUAUAAUACAUGCUUGGAGUUGUGAGCUAAUUAAAUUUUGAGGUGCUAAAUGUUUUUUAUAUGUUGAAAUUAACCUUCCAAUAUCAAGUCAAUAUAGAGAGUAAUUAAUAAAAAAUUAAAGAAGAUUAAGAGAAAUUGACUCUCCAAUAUCAAGUCAAAGAAAAAAUGCUAGGGAGACCUUGGUUUUAGAUCAUAUUUUGGAGACUACAUGAUGUGACGGUUGAUGAUUGGAUUCCUUCUUUAAUGAUGUAAAGAAGUAAUCCAACCACUAACUGUCACAUUAUGUGGUAUCAAAACAUGGUUCAAGUAGCAUCACCCCAACACAAUAUAGAAUGUAUAGGAAAUUUUCAAAGAAAAAAAAUGAGACGAAUGGAUUGGAAAGUUGGAGAACAAUAUAUAUGAAAUUUUUAAAAAGGCUUUUUAGCCAAAAUGGCCCCUGAGAUUUUCAUAACACACAUCACUUUGGUCUCUGAGAUUGAAAAUCAUCAAUAGAAAUGGUCCCUGAGAUUGUCCACCAUCCAUUAUUUUGGUCAUUCCGUUAAAAACUCCGUGAAGUGUCCUAGAUGUCUUGGCUGGAAGUUUGGGCAAUUUUCAAAGCUUCAUAACUCAAUUGUUUCUUAACCAAAUUCGACCCAUAAUAUAUCAAAAUGAAGAUAGGAAAGUGUAGAACAAGAUUAUAUAUAUUUGGAAGCUCAAUGGUUACCGGAGAUGCCGGAAAAUAGCCUUAAAGGUGACUGGUCCGCUGGAAAACUGGAAAACUCUCCGGAAACUGGGUAAACUUUAAACGUUUAUAACUUCUUCAAUACUCAACGAACUCAAGUGAUUCAAAAACGAAAAUCAUACUUCUUGACGAGCCAAAGAGAAUGGUACCUUUCUUGAUGCUGAUUCGUCCUGGUUUGGCCGAAAAACGGCUCAAAAAUGGCUAACUCGAGACCAAGACAGCCACUUUCGAGCCGUUUUCCUGCCAAACCACGACAAUUUAGGCGUAAAAAAGGUACCAUUCUUCUUGUCCCAUCGAGAAGUAUGAUUUUUGUUUUUGAAUCACUGGAUUUCGUUGAAUGUUGAAGUUAUGAACGUUUAAAGUUUAUCCAGUUUCGGGGCGAGUUUUCCAGUUUUCCCACAGACUAGUCACCUUUCAAGCUAUUUUCCAGCCAUAUCCGACAACCAUUGGGCUUCCAAAUAGGUAUAAUCUUGUUUCUAUGCUUUUCUAUCUUCAUUUUAAUAUAUUAUGGGUCGAAUUUGGUUAAGAAACGAUUGAGUUACAAAGCUUUGAAAAUUGCCCAAACUUCUGGCCAAGAGGUUUGGGACACUUAACGGAGUUUUUAAUGGAAGGACCAAAAUAAUGGAUGGUGGACAAUCUCAGGGACCAUUUCUAUUGAUUUUCAAUCUCAGGGACCAAAAUGAUGUGUUAUGCAAAUCUCAGGGUCCAUUUUGGUUAAAAAAAACCUUUUUAAAAUUAGUAGAAAGUUAUAGAAAACGAAGAGAUUUACAAACCUUAAUUAAUAUUGUUGUGGGUUGGUUUGGAGGACAAAAUAUAUGAAAUUUUCGAGAAGAGGAAAAGCUCAAAGUGUAUAUUCUUUGGUUGGACAAUGUGAAAGAAUAUUGUUUUCUAUGAAACUAAACCAGAAUUUAGAUUUAGUUUUAAGAGUUACUAAUUUGUUUCCUACUUUUGUGGGCAGGAUCAAGAAACAAACCUUUUCGUUCAUCAAAGAAAGAGUUAUUAAACGACCUAGUGGAUGGAAGGGAAAAUUACUUAGGGGUGGUUUGAGAGUGAGGUGCUUAAAAAAAAGCACCUAUGAAAAAAAGCUGUAAGGGUUUUAGGUGUUUGGUAAACUGAAAAAAAAAAGGGCUUAUUUUGGAAGCUGCUGUGAGAAUAAGCUGAAAUCAAAGGAAAAAGCUGAAGCUGCUAUUUGCAGCUUUGGAAAACUGGCUUUUUUUCAAAGCACACAGAGCUACAAUGCUCCUUUAAUGAAAAGACCCACUAUCAGACUGUUUUUUUUUCCAACAGCACUUUUACAAAAAAGUUUACCAAACACUCUGCUGAUUUUUUUCACAGCCACUUAUUCUCACAGCACAGCCGCUUAUUCUCAUAGCAGUUUUUUUUUCAAAGCACAGCAAUACCAAACCAGCCCUUAGUAGUGCGGGAAGAGAACUUCUCAUCAAGGUGGUUGCUCAAAAUCUUCCUGCUUUUGCAAUGAACUGUUUCUUAUUGCCGAAUACUUUUUGCGAUUACCCGGAUACCCUAAAAAUACACUGGUGGUCAAGGGAGAAAUUAUGUAAACCUAAGAGGAGGGGGAGGGGGGGGGGGUACGUGUUAAGAGAUUUGUAUGCUUUUAAUUUGGCAAUGUUGGUUAAACAAGGGUGGUGUUUAAUCACCAACCAGAUUCCUUGGGUGCUAAAUUGUUUAAAGCUAUACACAAUCCCAUGUCAUCUUUUUGGGAUGCAACCAACCCAUUCUAUAGCUCCUAUUGUUGGACUAGUAUUCUGAAGGCGCGUGAGGUGCUUUUGUUGGGGGAGGGGGGGGGGGUUCUAAGUGGACUGUGGACAAUGGAGAGACGAUACAAGUGCUAAUAUGAUAAUAGUAGAGGGUUACUUGAUGGAGAUGAAAGUAUAAGCUCUCCCAUUAACGUCCGCGGGCUCUACAAUUAUAACUCUUAGUGUGAGACAUAGUGAAACUGGCCUACUGCAAAAUAGUGAUAAAAGAUUGUAAUGUGGGUAUUAUGUAUGACCCUAUUGUGCAAUCUUUGAAUGACUAUGUAGGAAUUGGUACUUGUGGGACUUAAAAUAACAAUGCAUAACUAAUGUGGUGGUCGCACCGUUGCGAUUAAUUCAUGUGUUAGAAUAUAAGUAAACGAUAAUAUUAAUAUUUCAUAAAAUUAAGUAUAGUAGCAGUGUGACAGUCACAUUGAAAAACUUCUCAUUCAGAUAAAACUAAUAUAAAGAAUAGAAGAAGGCUAGUUAAGUACCAAACUAGAACUUUAAGGUCGAAGAAAAGUAGAAGAUGGAGGAAGAAGAAGCAUCAUUUCAAAAUUGAAAGACAAGGGUCAAGUAAUGGGGAUAAUUUUUACCCAAGAAUAAACAUGGGGAAAUUAUCUUGAUUUUCAUAUUAUCUCAAAGCAUUGGGAAGGAAGAAACAGUGUAUGAUAAAAUAUAUGACCUAUAUAUAUGUAUAUAUUCGAACACUGAUUUCUGUGUUGCAGUGUGCAUAAGUGCAUUUCCACCCAAACUUGAACUGUGGUUUGGAAUCUCAUUGAGCUCCAUUACUACAGGUCAAAGCCAAGGGUCUGCAUGCAGUUUGACUAUUUAGUUUUCAUUUAUGUACGGUUUGAUGGAUAGUAGUUGGGAAACAGAGAUAAAUUGUAAGGAAAACUAACCAAAAGGGCUUGAAAACUUUAAAUUUUAACCAAAAACCAUGUUAAAAGUUUAUUUAAUGGUUAGUACAAAACCUAAUAUCAAAUGAGCCCAAUAAAACCGACCCAACCAAAAUAAUUUAUUGUGCUUCCAAUUGUACCCCUAACGUCAAGUUUCCUCACCCGUUUAUUUGGUCCGUUUCCUUCAUAUGCAGAGAGAAAGUCUAUAAACUCAAAUUAAUUUAUGUAAUUUUCUCAUUACAUCUUGCCAUCAUCCAAUCUUCUCCGUCAAACUCUGAAACACCCGAGAAUGCCUUCUAAACGAUGAUUUCUUGGAAGAGUGUAUCUCUAUGACUCGCAACCCUCAACAACACUGUCCUUUCUAUUGUAAAAGCUGCCUACUUGAAAGAGUCAAGAAUGAUGAUUGUUUAGAACAAUGCAAGGGCCACUUAAGGAGGCAAUCUAUUAAAGAAUGCUGGGGCAAGUGUGGCUGCCAUAGACAGUGUGGAAAUCGAGUAGUCCAGAGAGGCUUAAAUUGGAAGUUGCAGGUUGGAAUCUAUUUAAAAUGCUCUUUUCUGAUUAUUGUUAGUUGAUGGAAUGGGGUAUUUGUUUUAUUAUUGAUGUAAAUCUGUGCAUAUAUUGUUCAUGAGUUUUAGUGGUUAUAUUCUCGAAAGAUGUGAUAAACAAGUGCAGAUCUUGGUUCGGAAAGAAGCGGAGAUGUCGUAUGACUUUCCUAAUCUACCUUUCAUCGAAGAAAACUAGCUAGUUGGAUCAUCGUUGCCGUACCUGAGGUGCAUGCAUUACCGAAUACAUCCUUCAUCAUCUGUUUAUGCCCAUCCCCUUGGAUCAUCGCCGGCGUACUUCACGGCGUCCUAUGCUAUCUGGAUAUCGUUUCUAUUGCACCGUGAGAAAUCCAAUAUCGGCUGUCGAACCGACAAAAGUCGAUAUUCAGAGGACAUUAGUAUUGGAGAAGGUUUGUGCUAUUGAAUUUUGAUUUGGAAAUAUUGAUUAUUUUUUCGGUUCUAAAUGUUCGGGCUGUGAUAUUUUUUGUUUUUGGGUGUUUGAAGUUUUUGGUUUUUAAAUUAAUUUGCAAAUUUAGGGUUUCAAGUGUGAUAUGAUGAGGAAUUAUUGAUCCAUGUUUCUGAUUUAACCGUGACCAACAACCCUUAACCAUCUCUGAUCGCUUUUCCAUUUUUACCAAUUUCAAAAUUUCAUUUAAAAUAUUUUUAGUUUUAAUUUUUUAAUUUUGUUUGAAUUUUGUGUUUAUCUUGCUCUGUGAUUAUGUGCCUACAAUGGGCAAUAUAUGUUAUUCUGAUUCAGAACAUGACUGGAUAACUUUUGAGAGCAAUUAUGAGAGCAAUUAGUUUCUAAUUGUUGUUUAAUUUUUGUUUCUGGGUUUAAUCUUUAUUUUUUUUACAAUUUAAUUUUGCAAAUUAAAAUUUUUGUUGCUGGGCUUUAUGAGAGCAAAGAAGUUGCCAAGAGAGAGGUUCUUCGGUGCAUCAACCAGGUGAUUGUGUGCUAAUGAACUCUUAAUACAGUUUGUAGUAUUUAGACUUGUUGAGUCACUAAGAGAGAGUGAUUAGGAAGUUAAUUGAGCUUGUUUCACAUUCUCUAACUUAAAUUACAAAUAGUAUGCACUUCCAGAAGUUCAAUUAGGUGGACUUCACUUGCAGUUCAACAUGGGCUAGCUGCAAUUGGUCAAAAUUGAUUGCCCAUCGUUUUCCUUUAGGCUUUCACAUCUCGAAAUGCAAAUGGCUCAAAAUAAUUUCAACUUUAACAAGUAUGUUUAUUCUGUGAUCCAAAUGCAAUCUUCGACCCUCUUAACUUUUUUUUUUUUUGCACACAGCCAAAUGGAGAUGACCCAAAAUUUCCUGAUUGUAGAUUUAUCCAGAUGCAAUCUUCUUUUGUUUGUCCUAUUUCUUAAACGGAACACUAGUAUUAUCACUGUUUCAUAAACUAAACACUGACUAUUUGUUAAACGGAACACUAGUAUUAUCACUGUUUCGUAAACUAAACACUGACUAUUUAUCAAACGAACACUAGUACUAUCACUGUUUCAUAAACUAAACAGAACACUAGUACUAUCACUGUUUUCAUAAACAGUAAACACUACUAUCUGUUUUAACUAAACACUGACUAUUUUAACAAAUAAAACAACUAACACUAGUACUAUAAACGUAAAAAACCAAAACUAGUUUAUCUAAACACUGUUUCUGUAAACACUGUAACACUAAACUAUUACUUAAAACUAACACUAAACACUAUCACUGUUUCAAAACUAAACAAACUGACUAUUUCUUAAACGGAAAACUAGUACUAUCGUUGUUAUGUAAACUAAAAAACACUGAUUAUUUAUCAAAUGAACACUAGUACUAUUACUGUUUCGUAAACUAAACACUGACUAUUUCUUAAACGAAACACUAUAGUACUAUCAUUGUUUGGUAAACUAAACACUGACUAUUUAUCAAACGAACACUAGUACUAUCACUGUUUCGUAAACAAAAUCGAACACUAGUAUUAUCACUGUUUCGUAAACAAAAACACUGACUAUUUUCUUAAACGGAACACUAGUACUAUCAACUAAACACUAAUAUUUUCUUAAACGAACACUAGUACUAUCACUGUUUCGUAAACUAAACACUGACUAUUUAAAACGAACACACUAGUACUAUCACUUUUAAACUAAACAGAACUACACUAUUUUCAAACGACAACACUAACUAACUAUCACUGUUUAGUAAACUAAACACACUACACUAUUUAUCAAACGAACACUAGUACUAUCACUAUUUCGUAAACUAAAACAAUCGAGCACUAGUACUAUCACUGUUACAUAAACUAAACACUGACUAUUUCUUAAACGGAAUACUAGUACUAUCACUAUUUCAUAAACUAAACACUGACUAUUUAUCAUACGAACACUAGGACUAUCACUGUUUCAUAAACUAAACACUGACUAUUUAUCUAUCGAAACACUAGUACUAUCACUGUUUCGUAAAUAAACACUGACUAUUUAUCAAACGAACACUAUACUAUCACUGUUUCGUAAACAAAAUCGAACACUAGUACUAUCACUAAUUUCGUAAACUAAACACUGACUAUUUCUUAAACGGAUCACUAGUACCAUCACUUUUUCGUUAAACUAAACACUAACUAUUUUAUCAAAACGAACACUAGUACUAUCACUGUUUCGUAAACUAAACUUACACUGACUAUUUCUUAAACGGAACACUAGUACUAUCACUGUUUUCGUAAAUUAAACAACUGACUAUUUCUUAAACGAAACACUUAGUACUAUCACUGUUUAGUAAACUAAACACUGACUAUUUAUCAAACGAACACUAGUACUAUCACUGUUCGUAAACAAAAUCGAACACUAGUACUAUCACUGUUUCGUAAACUAAACACUGACUAAACAUACUUACUAAAUUUUUAAACGAACACUAGUACUAUCACUGUUUCGUAAACUAAACACUGACUAUUUCUUAAACGAAUACUAGUACAUCACUAUUUCGUAAACUAAAACAGAAAACACUAGUACUAUCACUAUUUCGUAAACUAAACGGAACACUAGUACUAUCACUGUUUCAUAAACUAAACACUGACUAUUUAUCAAACGAACACUAGUAUUAUCAUUGUUUCGUAAAUUAAACACUGACUAUUUGUUAAACGGAACAGUAGUACUAUCACUGUUUAGUAAACUAAACACUGACUAUUUAUCAAACUGACACAGGUACUACACAAUUUAUUAAACUGACUGACUAUUUUUGAACAGAACCAAAAUAACCCAUCCUAAUAAGUAACAAUGAGCGCACUUACGACAGUGACUUUAAUUAUUAGACUAUUAGUCAAUUAGGCAACCAGAAAUUGGAUUACCAAAUUAGCUAAUCCUAACCCACCACCCUCAUGACAAGUCAUCUUAGUUAUGUGUGCUAUGCUGAUGUUAUAUAUAUAUAAAUCAAACAAGUAACAAGCACGUUCAAGGAAACUUGGAUAAAUGGCUCACAAGUACUAUAACAAUGCACUAGUGCUACUAGUGUUUGUCAGCGUUGUGGUGCAGGAAGAAACUUUAAUGGUGGGUGUUGCUCAACGAGAUCUUUUAUUAUGGUCUCGUUUCUUUGAAAGUUUGCUUUAUAUAUAUAGAACAACAUCCAAACCAGGCUUUUCAUAGUACAACAUCCAACCCAGGCUUUUCAUGUGGAUUUUCUUCCUUGGAACAAGCUGCUUCUUCUCAGCCCUCAUCGAUGCAUUCUGAAUGGAAUUAAGACAAGCCAUUUUUCAUCUUUUUCGUCACACCAUCAACCAGUUUAUUGCCAGAUGAUGCGGCCUCCUCCCUUCCCCUUUUUCGUUCCAUAUACACAUACUUUUCAAAAUUGCUAGAGGCUUGGCUAUAUCCAAAACGAAAUGCAGCUUCUUUCUCACACAAACUUUUAUAAGAGAUUAGCACGGUGAAACGCAAAUCACCGUUGUAUCUAAAAAUCAAGAAGUCUCAGCAUUCUACGUAAUGGUCUAUCACAAAUGUCGGCCACCCAUGAUGCAAGAACAAACCACCAUUCUGUUGAAUCAAUUCAAUACUCCACGCACUGCCGCUAGGGUCAAACAACAAAACUAACCCAGUUAUUCUGCCUUCCAUUUUUCUCAUGAAUCUUCAUGGGAUUUUCAGUCUUUCGGAGCUCAAAUCAUCAUAAUAAAACGCAAAAAAUGAGGGCUCCUCGCAUUCUGAACUUCCUCCAUUGAAAUUAGCUUUGCAAGUUUCAAACUCUUAUCAGAAAACAGAAUCUCGGUGAAAUUUUCUGAGUAACCAAACAGGUCCUACCAUUUUCCCCUCCGAUUUAAAAUUAACGAAGCAAGAACGAACAAAAUUCAAGAUGGGAUUUGUGAUCGUAUAAAUUAUUAGGUUUUUUUUUCAAUUUGUUUUUAUGAGGAAGUGGCAUACUUGUAAAAAAAAGGAAAGUCUAUUUCUAAUGGGAGUGGCUGACGGAGUGAGGUUCCAUUAGGGGUAAGAGCUGGAAAAAAAAAAUAUUUCGUUUUGGGCUUUUAAUUCAGCCCAUGUGUAUUCAAGGUUAUAGGGCCUGAUAUAUAAUAGUUUUGUCCUUAUCAUGAAAUAUAAAGCCCUUUUGGUUAAAUAAUAGUAUAGGAUGGUUUUUGGUUAAAGUAAACUUAACCCAAGCCCUUUUCAUUAAAGCUCCCUAAAUUGUAAUGGAAGGACCAUGUGUCAUAUUUCUUACAGAUAACUAGCUUUGAUACUCUCAUUGAUCAAGACGGAUGAAUAUAAUAUACAGGAUGGGUGUUACAGGGAAGCUAAUUAUAAUUUUUUGCUCAAAAUUAGUGGCGGGGGGAGGGAGUUAACUUCUUUGGACUUCAUUUCUGUGACAGAAAAACUGCUGCUAACUACAGUUAACCUUUGUCUUUCAAUUUUGAAAUGAUGCUUUUUCUUCCUCCAUCUUCUGCUUUUCCUCAACCUUAAAGUUGUGAUUUGGUACUUAACUAGCCUUCUUCAAUUCUUUAUAUUAGUUUUAUCUAAAGGAGAAGUUUUUUAGUGUGACUGUCACACUACCACUAUACUUGAUUUUAUGAAAUUUUAAUAUUAUCGUUUACUUAUAUUCUAACACAUGAAUUAAUCUCAACGGUGUGACCACCACAUUAGUUAUGCAUUGUUAUUUUAAGUCCCACAAGUACCAAUUCCUACAGUCAUUCAAAGAUUGAACAAUAGGGUCAUACAUAAAUAUUUUUUACUUCAAUUCACUACCUACAUUACAAUCUUUUAUCACUGUUUGCAGUAGGCCAGUUUCACAAUGUCUCACACUAAGAGUUAUAAUUGUAGAGCCCGCGGAAGUUAAUGGGAGAGCUUAUACUUUCAUCUCCAUCAAGUAACCGCUCUGCUAUUAUCAUAUUAGCACUUGUAUCGUCUCUGAUAUAACAACCACAGUAUAGAGAAUGAAAAUUAAUUACUAAUUACCACUUAGCUUAUAUGAAAGUAGGAUUAUAUUGUGGUUUGUGAUUCUACCUAUUUAACCUGUUUCGGAUUUACAGAACCCACAAGAAUACCACGAGGGUCGACUCGAAAGUUCAAAACCCGUCAUUCAAAUUGAAAAUUCUACUACGCUAGACUGAAGUUUAUCUAGUUUUAAAACUGGGACAUGCUUACACUUUGUAUACAUGCGAGAUUAAUUGCUAGAGACUUAAGGGGAGUAUUUUUACCAACACAUAAAAAUCAGAAAAAGAAGUGGAAAUCAGUAAUUUGACACUUGAAAAACCGGGUAUUAGUUCAACUAUCCGAUUAAGGACUUAAUAAACAUGCCUAAGGGAUCAUUUGAGACUACUAAUGUAGAAAGUACUUGUACCACUUGUAGUUAUCAGAUUAAAUAGACCUAAUAAAAAUAACUGACAAAAUUAAAUAUGGAGAAGGUGGUAAAUACACAACUGUCAACACUGAUAUAAAUUAAUCGCUCUAUUUCCUUGGGUCACCAUCCCCUAAGUUUUCAUAAACUCCAAAGCUCUCAUUUUUGAGGAAUUUUUCAUUGUAACUAGAACACAGGUUGUAUACUAUGUAUUUUUAUAUAAUUAUGGUAAAUUUUAUUUUUUAAGUUAUUAAUUUUUUGACACACAUAUCCUACUAUUUGUAUAAUAACAUGUGAUGUACUACCCCAUAUUCUGAUCACAAUGAAAAAUCUCUUCUCAUUUUCCCCCGGGGUUUUCACCUUUUCCAAGUCACCGAAUCUCUCCGAUUCUCCAAGUUCUCUACAAUCAACAAUAAUUUUCUCUACCUCCUCCAAUAAAAGGCAAAGAUUAGAAAUGGGCAUAAAAAUCGUGGAACCGAGAAACUCUAUGCCCUUUUUUAUUUAUUAUUUUUGUCUGUGAGUAACUUUCUGGUUGGUUCAUGUACAUUUUUGCGUUUGGUUUUUGUAAAAAUCUUGGAUUUUUGGGUUUAUUUAUAAAUUUGUGUGUUUUGGCUAUUAAGUUACUAGGUUGAGUGGGUUUGACUUAGCUUUCCAAGGUCAGACAUUAGGAACUGUUUUCAAGUUAGAUUUGCCUUUUGUCUUUUUCUUUUUCGAUCAAAUCCCAUUUAAAAAACGGUCGACGUAUAUAUUUUGCAUCAUUACAAUUAAUUAGUCUACUUGUUUAUUCAUAAGACGAUAAUCGAGGAAACGAAAUCAACCAUGGUGAGCUUUGUGGAACCAAAAAUAAUUCCAAAAAUUCUAGAGACGAUAGAUGGACUUUUGUUCAAGAAGGACAAGAUUGUCCUCAUUAAAUGGGCAUACUCCUCAGAAACUCUCACGCGUAACUCACACUCCUGAAGGUUCCAGCAGUUGAAUACGACUGCCCACAGCUCACCUGCCAUUGACAAGGAAAAGUCAAAGCAUUAACGAUAAAGAUUAAUUACCCAAAUCCUAUUUUUAAUACAUUCCCAAUUGAAGAUUGACUCUAAUCAAGUAAGUAAUACCAAUUUAAAUUAAUUAGGGAUAAUUACUCCAUUAUCUCAAGAUAUUAUUUCCUAUUUAAUAUAUUGAGAAUAUGUCUCUAUAAACGUUGGCCAAUAGGAUGCCACCAUGUGUAAGGUAAAACCCUAACACUAUGGCCAGCCCUCUCCCCUAUAUAUACCCCAUAUUCUACCAAAUUUCAGAAGCUUUUGCUACCCCUAAAAAGCCUUAAACACUUUACUCUCUCAGAAAAACUAAUUUAGGCAUCAGAGAUCCAUUGGCCUAACCCCCCCCAACCUCGUGGGCACGUGAGGCUUAGGUCUUUAAUGAAAUGUGUUAAUUGUUUUGUAGGUGCAUUUUCACCAAGACUGAAGACGGCGAAAAUUUGCAUCGACAAAUUGGUGCUUUCAUUAAGAGCUGAUUCAAAUACUCAAAAAAAGCCAUUUGCAUUUGUUUAUUGAAUUUUCUGUUAUGUUGAAUUUCUCACAUGUCGUAUCAAUUAAUUUUUCCUAAAAAAGUUUCUUGAUCAAUCCCUGCAGAAAUGAUACAAUAGUAAGAAAUUCAGAACCACAACGAACGGAACCCCGUACGUACAAGGAUUUGGACUGGAGAGUGGAGACAAGGACAUAGCCCCACGAUGGUGAUCCUCAAGGCUCAACACGACAGCAGGAGGAGCCCCACUGCCAUGAAGCCAAGUCAUCUAAGCCACAACCAGAUGCAAGCUCUGCUGCAAGGACCGCAACCCUCAAAAAGCUGGGCAGAAGGCCCAGAUCCAUUCCUUAACCCAAGGGUAGGAAGCCCAGGUCCAUGGAGAAGUAGGCUGAGCCCAAGAGGCCCAGACCAUUACAGCUCCACUAGCCAAGCAGCCCAAGCCGCAGCAACCCAAGCUCAACUCGUUGUUGAGGCAACUCGAGCCCACUUAGCUACCAACCGAGCCCAAGCUCACGAUGAGCUAGCACCGACCCAGCUCGCAGUAUAGACCCAAGGCCAGUUGCUAUAAGUGCAAGCCUAGCACGCCCACACGUACGACCCAACCACCUAACCGGGGUAGCCCACCCCGCGACCUGCUCCGACGACCCGGCUCGCAGCUCAAUCCAACUCGAGGCCACCUCUUAUGAUUCAAAUUUCGACCACUGGUCCCACGAUCACCUCAGGGUUAUUUUCACCCCACUUUUCUACAGGAAUACCUAUUUUGGGUUCAAGCUUUACACCUACAGUCCACUAUACUUCCACCACACAUGGAUAUGACCAUUAUCUAGACUCUUCAAAUCCAAAUGGUAAGCACCAUCUGCCCUAGUAGGUCGCCAAAUUGACGUGUGUCCUCGUGCAGUAGACCACCUUGGUGAACCAACUCCUCGAGUGUAUCGAGACGCAGCGCGCCCCAGACAAGGUGUCUUAAAGCAGGACAAUGGCAGAAGACUGUGACUCAUUCCAGCGACGUCACGACAAACAGUCGUUCAGCCUGCCCGGAGCUGCAAGUUCAGGUAGUGUGCACCUUCAUUUGCGCCCUUGGGGAAACAUCUUCUCCUGCCUAAAUGCACAAAAAAACAUUUAUUCCUAACUCGACUCACGAGUCAGUGUACAUUCGAGGUUGGGUUCAUACUUCGAUAAACACUCAGGACAUUCCAGACGAAGCAUCCAUAUGAGGCUAGGCCCACAAGGAGAUCCUCCUGUAAGUCACCGGAGUUGGUAGCCACAUGACGGGCAGAGGAAAGCACAUAAGUAGUCCAGCUUAAGUUUCACUGGCUGUCCCCGCCAAACUUCACGACAAGCAACAUAGAAUGAACCUCGUGCACAACGACUAAGGCACAGACGAACAUGACAUGCCGAAAAGCAACAUGGACCAGCAGGUUAGCACCGAGGGCAGUUGGAGGCUUCGUUGCCCCACUAGGUGCAAAUCCAGGAAAAAGUACAAAGGCUCGUGGCAAAGUAGCUGCGCGGAUUCUAGCGCAUUGAUACUACCGACGAUGCCCUUCGUAGAGACGUUGUCAACAUAAGCAGGUCACCGUUCACAGAUGAGAUCGAGUAGACGGAGCCACCACGGAAGUUCAGCCCGCCAUAUUUCACCUUGUUCAAAAGAGAUGAAGAUCUGGACAGACACUUAAUGCAUUACCGAAGCACCAUGACCCUCUACGCCAACAAUGAUGCUCUCAUGUGUAAGAUCUUUGCCAUGAUGAUCCAAGGUGAGGCGAAGACUGGUUUCACACCCUGCCGCAUCACUCAAUUCGGAACUUCAACGAACUUUCCUUGGUUUUCACUAAGGAAUACUCGUCCUACCACUCGAUCAAAAAGAAGUCUGACCACCUCUUCAAUAUGAAGAAGGACUCCAAUAAGUCACUCUGUACACAUAUCAAGAGAUUUAAGGCGGAGAAGGUGAAGAUCGUUGGAUGUGAUGACAGCAUUGCAUGCUCAGCUUUUCAAAAAGGGCUCCUAGCAAAUCACCCAUUUUCCGGAGAAUUGAGCAUGGGCAAGAACUUAACCCUAGAAAACUCUUAUGCUUUGGCAGAAAAACACUCUCUUUCGGAUGAGGCUAAAUGUUCUUAGAAGCCACCUGAACAGCAGCGCAAAAACGCAGAGCCAACACAGAAGAAGGUGGGCAAUAAACCGCUCAAUGACAAAAAUUAGCCAAGAAGCAAAUGCAGGGAUCGAUCCCCGAUAAAAGGAGGCAUGACACCCAAGAUGUACACCAAGUUCUUAAGGAGUCGAAGUAGAAGUUUUUCGCCCUAGCAGUAGCAGCUGAUAUGCAGAAAGACAUUCUACCUCUACCAAAUAGCAACCAUAGUAGAUGGAUCAAGAAGAUGGUGUCAAGGUGAACAAUGCCCUGGCAGAUGAAUCAGGAUGGAAACCCGAAGAAGACACCGAGCACAUCUCCCUUAACCUUAAGCAGCGGUCAGACCAUUCAAACCGCAUAUCCAAAAUUAGUUCUAAGCAAUUCUAGAUAUAAAGUCCCUCAUCACUCUGAAGGAGAUCCAAGGUCUGACCUGAUGAGCAACUGCUCUCAACCAAUUCCUCUCUCGACCUACCGAUUGAUACAAGUUUUUUUCAAGGCAAUCAAGACGCAUAACGAGACAAAUGGAACGACGAAAUGCGAGAGAGCAUUACAAGACUUGAAGAAGUACCUGGCGUCACCUUCACUACUAUCCAAGCCGGUCUACAGUGGAGAACUUGUACAUCUAUCUGGCAGUAUCAGAAGUAACAGUGAGCUAUACCUUUACACUAGAAGAGCUAAGGGCCCAACUGCCUAUAUUCUAUUCAUCCAAAGCUCUUCUCGAUGUGGAAACCAGAUAUCUGAAGAUUGAAAAGCUAAUUUUGGCACUAGUUGUUACAGCUCGGAAGCUCAGACCUUACUUUUAAGGGUAUUUGGUCAUCGCCAUGACUUAGUACCCACUACGAUCAGUUUUGCAUAGUCCAGACGUUUCUCAACGAAUGAUGAGAUGGGCGUUGGAACAUGGCCAAUACGGCUUAGUAUACCAACCUCGCAUUGUAAUGCUUUGUAGUAGAAUUCACCCUAAGCCUGAAAGAUGUAGAAACUUAGCCCAAACGUGCCCUAGAGGCAGCCGAGCAUGCCGUAGCCGUACCAGCCCCGCCUGUAGGAGAUUUUUUGCAUUUUCACAUCGACAGAUCAUCCAACUGCCAGGGAUCUGGAGUAUUUCUAGUUCUUACUACCCUGGACAGUUUGAUGCUCGAGCAGGCGAUCAUUCUAAGCUUCAAGGCAUCAAACAACAAAGCAGAGUAUGAAGCCCUACUGAUUCCUAGCUGACGAGCAGGUAUUCGAUUGGCGAAAGAGAUCCAAGGUCUGACCUGACGAGCAGGUCUUCGAUUGGUAAAAGACAUAGCGAUGAAGAAGCUCGUAAUUUAUUUCGAUUCCUAGCUGAUCACCAACCAAACCUCAGGGGAGUACGUAGCAAAACAUCUAAGAAUGGCCCGAUAUCUCGAGAAUGUACGAGAACAGUUAGAGACGUUCUAGGCGUACACAUCACUCAAGUUCCAAAAGCAGAGAAUGUAUACGCAGACACACUAACAGGGCUAGGUUCUACCUUAGACCAUUAGCUCAAACACUUCAUCCCAGUUGAGUACUUAGAGAAGCCAAGCAUAGAUGAGGAGCCAAUAGUUGAGGUAGUGUGAAUCAACACAAGUUUGAGUUGGCAGGAUCCUAUCAUCAACUACUUAGUCAACAGAACGUUCCCUGCAGGCAGACUGGAGGAAGUUCUAGAUUAAGGCAGCACGCUACUACAUAUGGAAUGGCAUGCUUAUUCGCAAAUCCUUCUCAUGACCACAUCUCUGCUGCCUAUCGCUUCCCGACGACCUGAAGAUUUUUAGCUCAAUCUACGAAGGUGUCUGUGGAAACCACGCUGGAAACCAUUCUAUAGCGUAUAAAGCUCUUAACGCUAGCUAUUACUAGCUAACCAUGCAUCAAGACGCCAAUAAGUAUGUGCAAAUGUGCGACAGCUGCCAGCACUUCAAGCCCAUGCCCGCACUACCUGACAGCGAACUCCACCCAUAAAUAAGCCAUUAUCUAUUCAUGCAGUGGGCAAUUAACCUGGAAUGACCAAUGCCUCCUGUCACUGGGGUUAAAGGCAUGACGAUCGUAGCAACCGACUACUUCACAAAAUGGGUCGAAGCCGAACCCAUGACUACAACUACCCAGAUGGACAUAGAGUAAUUAAAUCAACAUAACCCCAACCCAAUAUUUAACAAAAACUCACUCUCCUAAGAGAUUUUUCACUAUUGCCCUCUUUUUUUCUCUCAAAGCUUAUUCAACUCUGAAUGCUUACCACAUGCAUAAGUACUGCAUUUGGUUAUAGGCAGCCCAUUAAACUGAAGCCAACAAGUAAAGAUCAAAUUGGUCUUUAGUUCACAUGCCAUAUUUAAACGCUUCACUGUAGCGUGCAACUGUUUUCUUCAUUUGCUAUUUAAUGCAUAAAAGAUAAGCAUGCACGUCACUCAGUACUUGUUGGUAUUUCUCUUCAUUUGAAAGUGAGAGGUUUUAUGUUCGAAUCUCAUGGAUGGCGAAUUCAAUACCAAAUUGGGUUGUUCGUUGUGUGGUUUAGCCGAACUCUCACUCUUCCUUUGCACAAUGGCAUACAAACGAAAAAAUCUAACCUCCUUCCAACGUUCCUUGUGUUUAUACCAUACUUAGGGCCUCCGUAUUUAGAUCUCAUAUAAUAAAGGAAGAGGCAAAUAUGUAAUAAGUGAGGAGCCUUAUUCUAUAAAAGGACCCCUCACUCUCCUCAUUAGCGGGGGGCCAUUUCUUAGGCCAUACCCUCACCCUCUUAGAGCUCUCAUCCUCACAGAGAAACUCUCUCUCUCCCUCUUCAACAUCUCAGAGAAAGAAAUACAAUAAUUAGUGUAGACGUAGCCCAAACAUUGGGGUAAACCACGAUACAUCUUGUGUUAUUUACUUUCUUGCAGAUUCACGGUCAGAUUUACGUUGUUCCAAGGCCUCCGAUUUUGUGCAUCAACAUUUGGCGCCGUCUGUGGGAAUCGACACAGAAAACUAUGUUGGUUCUCUUUCAUUUUUUUUCAUCUCACCACCGUGAAACUGCAGAAACCGAAGAACCCAUAAAACCUCACUCUUUGGGCUUGUCCAGAAAACCUUCGCAGACUCUAUGCAGUUUUAAGAAACUAUCCAAAAACCCAUUUUUCAUCUCUCUUUCAACAACACAGCUACCACCGCGUCUUUUCAUGUCUCUAACUAUAGAUCUCACCCUCUCCCUCUCUCUAAAACUUUCUCUCUCUAAAAUCCGAACCAAACAUCGUCUUCAACCUUUGGACUUGGAAGAGAGAGGGAAGACCCUGUAAAUUCAGCCAAAAUAUCUCCAAACCCACAUCUCUUUUUCUUUCCAUUAUUUUUCACAACUUGUUAAAUGAUUAAAUCAACAAAACUUUUGGAUAUUGUCAGAAAAAUCUGAGCUAUGAACAGUCAUCACGACGAGGAAGAGAUGCUUACGUCCUUGGAGUACAAUUUCGACACUGAGUUGACUCAGUCCACCGCGCUCAGAGGUAGCACCCAGUUCGAAAGACGAGCUUUUAGCGGCCCGCUGGGAAUGUCUAACUACGCACCGACUAGACCUACUAAAUGCCAAUUCUCCGAGAACUCUCCAUCCUCCUCUAAUCUCUGAAAGCUGAAGGCUUCAACAUUUCCAAACCCCCAUUGGAGAUAUUAUUCGAUCAGGGACCCAAUUGGUGAUACGUCGUCGUUUGGCUCGGAAAGAUGGUUUAUCACUCCAAUUUCGUCAACGCUGAAGGAAUUACUAAAGCUUGUGGAUGCCCUCUAUUGCCGUUGAAAAGCCACAUAAAGGGACCUGCCCCAGUUUCAAAGCAAGAUAGAACGGAUAUUGUUGAUGAAGCGAUUUCAUUCUUUCGCGCUAAUGUUUUCUUUAGGAACUUUGAUGUUAAGAGCUCGACCGAUAAGCUCCUCAUUUAUUUGACAUUUUGUAUCAAUGUGGCUUUGAAGCGGCUGGAGGGUUGCAGAACUUUGGCUGAAGGAACCAAGGCCAUUAUUAAUUUGGGACUACAAAAAGUUCUUGUUACUGGAGAGCCGAGUUUCCCUUUCCCAGGACUUUUCCCUCUUCCUCAGUCCCAGCAGGAAGCAGACGUGUUGUUGGAAACAAGAAAUGUUUGAAGGGGCCUCAUCGUCCUCAUGUUCCUCACUGUCCUCCUUCUGACCAGCAACAGCAACAACAACAACAACAACAGCCGCAUCUUCGCCCAGAGCAAGAGCCAGAGCCGACAGUAGAUCAAUUUUAGUGAUCCUGAUUGGAAAUCCAAGUUUCAAGGGGAUUUCGAGAAGCGGUUCAACAUCCCCUACAUCACUGAUGUUUUCCCUGACUUUGAUCCCAUUCCUUCCACCUUCUGCUUAAGGAUGAGGACUCCAGUAAUCGAAGACUUUGCAGGGUGAAAGCUCAAAAGGACGUUUGCUCCCGACUCGAAUCCCUCGAACUCGGAAUCUCAACCCAGUGACCAUGUAACAAAAAAAAAGGAAACAAAAGCAAAAGCAAGUCUGUGCAGGUAAAGAUGUCUGUAGGUGGAAAAGAAAAAGAGACUGAGUGAGAGAGGUGCGGUGGAAAAGAAGAAAGCAAAAGGGAGGCUCUCCUCGAGAGCACAUGGGGGACAACGCGAAAGAAAAAGAAAAAGGGAGAUCUUACUAAAGCCAAAGAAGAUGCCCACACUUUCGUCAUGCAUGUUCCUAUUUUCUGAGAAAGCUACGGGAAGACCUAGGAGGAAGAUAAGGGUUCCUUACUUUAAAGUGAUGUAAUUUAUUUUUCAUAUCUUUCGGAGACAUUUGUAUAAACCCCAUCAAAGGGUUAAAAAAAAAAAAAAAAAAAAAGGCAAGCCCAAAAUAAUAGGCUGGAAGGUGGUGUGGAAGGCGAAGACCCAUAUGCCCAAAAGAGCCAGACCCUCUAUUAUCACCAACCAGGUGAUCAAAAGUACGCCCAGUACUCCAAAAUUAUUCGGCAACGUGCCGCUAUUAUCACCAACCAGGUGAUCAAAAGUACGCCCAGUACUCCAAAAUUAUUCGGCAACGUGCCGCUAUUAUCAUCAACCAGGUGAUCAAAAGUACGCCCAGUACUCCAAAAUUAUUCGGCAGCCUACCACUAUUAUCACCCACUAGGUGAUCAAAAGUACGCCUAGUACUCCAAAAUUAUUCGGCAGCCUGCCACUAUUAUCACCCACUAGGUGAUCAAAAGUACGCCCAGUACUCCAAAAGUAUUCGGCAACCUGCCGCUAUUAUCACCAACCAGGUGAUAAAAAGUACGCCCAGUACUCCAAAAUUAUUCGGCAGCCUAUCGCUAUUAUCACCCACUAGGUGAUCAAAAAUACGCCCAGUACUCCAAAAUUAUUCGGCAACUUGCCGCUAUUAUCACCAACCAGGUGAUCAAAAGUACGCCCAGUACUCCAAAAUUAUUCAUGAGCAUCACUCAUGUCAUUCAUACAUAAACAUUCAUGAGCAUCACUCAUGACAAUCAUACAUAAACAUUCAUGACCAUCAUUCAUGUCAACAUUCAUAAGCAUCAUUCAUGAGCAUUGCUCGUGACAACAUCCAUGAGCAUCACUCAUGUCAUUCAACAUAAACAUUCAUGAGUAUCGCUCAUGUCAAUCUAGCUUCAAAAGCUCCAUUUACAGAGCUCUAGCUUCAAAAGCUUCAUUUACAGAGCUCUAGCUUUAACAGCUUCAUUUACAAAGUUUCAACAGCUUCAUUUACAGAGCUCUAGCUUCAAAAGCUUCAUUUACAGAGCCCUAGCUUCAAAAGCUUCAUUUACAGAGCUCUAGCUUCAAAGCUUCAUUUGCAAAGCUUCACCUACAAAGCUUAAGUGCAGGAUAUACAAAUACCGAAUCCGAACAACCACCAGUUCGGCCCAUACAUGGAUUCAAUUUGAAGUCUUCAGCCAACAGAGUCUAUUGACCGAAGACUUAGGGGACUACAUUAUGUACCAUAUAUUGGGCCUCAACUGGGCCUCAUGAAAAAUACUUGGGGGACUCUAGCCCAUUAUUCAUGUAUUGAGGAGCGAGCCCUUAUUCUAUAAAAGAGACUCCCUUACCAUCAUUAGAGAGCAUCAACUCUAGCCCAUUAUUCAUGUAUUGAGGAGCGAGCCCUUAUUCUAUAAAAGGGACUCCCUCACCAUCAUUAGAGAGCAUCGCCGCCUACUGAGCAACCGCCUCGCCGCGAGCAUCAACUCUAGCCCAUAUUUAUGUAUUAAGGAGCGAGCCCUUAUUCAAUAAAAGGGACUCCCUCACCUUCAAACACCAAAAGCCAAGCCAACCAAGGCAACAUAAGCCACAAGCAAAGCGGCCUCGCAACAUGUGCUACUUCUAGUUGAGCAUCAUUUCAGAUUGGGCACUGCCGCAUAUCAAGUAUCAAUUCUAGACGACAUCUAGUUACUUCGGCCCACACAUGGACUGAAUUUCAAGUCUCUAGCCAAAAGACUCUCUUGACUGAAGACUUAGAGGACAAUGGUUGCCUCCAUAUUUAGAUCUUGUAUAAAUACUCGGGGGGCUCAAAUGUAAUUAUGUAAUAAAGGAAUGGACAAAUAUGUAAUAAGUGAGGAGCCCUUAUUCUAUAAAAGGACCCCUCACUCUCCUCAUUAGCGGGGGGCCAUUUCUUAGGUCAUACUCUCACCCUCUCAGAGCUCUCAUCCUCACAGAGAAGCUCUCUCUCUUAUUCUUCAACAUCUUAGAGAAAUACAAUAAUUAGUGUGGACGUAGCCCAAACAUUGGGGUGAACCAUGAUACAUCUUGUGUUAUUUACUUUCUUGCAGAUUCACGGCCGGAUUUACGUUGUUCCAAUGCCUCUGGUUUUGUGUAUCAAUAACUUGUACCAGUAAAAUCAUGUGCAAACCACAAAGUCAUGACCUACUUCCAACUUUACUUUUGGCAGUCAAAUCAUGUCUUCUCUUUGAAGACUUUCAUGCCUUCAUCCAUCUUUAGCUUGCAUGGUUUCCGCUUCAGAUGUAAAUUCUUGUUCAAACUCUUAGUAAUAAAGAGUUUUUCCAACUUCUCCUACAAAGCAGGCACAAAAUCUUCAUCCAUAACAUUAUUGACAAUGUUAUCAGCUAUAUGGAGUCAAAUCGUGCUUACACAUCACGACUCCAACACCUCACACCUGUCAUCUUUCAUUUUUUCUGGCUUUCCAUCUUUUCCCUUCAAAGCUCUAGUCAAGCCUUGUUGAGUCAAGACGUCCUUGAUUCUCAUUUGCCAACGAGUAAAACUGCAUUUCCCAUUAAACUGCUCAACUGAGAAUGGCGUGUUUAUUGUCAUCAUGGUGACACUACUACAAAAUGGACUUAUUGUGUCACUAGGUGAUGUCACUUUAAUAUAAUAUAGUGGCAGACAAGACAUUUGCAACACUUACUGAACAUGACGUCAGAUUUACUGUCGCUUGUAAGCGUCAUAAACUGUCUAUGUCACUUUUAACUGACGUAAACAUUUAAUGUCGCUUAUAACCGACAUACAUUUUAAUAAUUUUUAAAUAAUGGUGUCGCUUUAAAAAAAAUAGUGUCACUUUUAAGCAACAUAAAGUAUUGGUAUCACUUCUAGCCGACACUAAUUAUUGUUUUUAAAUAUUUUAAAGUCUGUGUCGAUUCUGAGUGACAUAGAUUUUAUUUUUUUUAAUAUUUUGAAACCCGGUGUUGGUUGUAAGCAACAGAUUGAUGAUCUUUAUAUACUAUCCCCCGUGUGUUCUUCUUCCUCUCUUGCAUCUUUCUUAAGGAUAAGUUUAUAAGGUGACAUGCAAUUAGGCCUGGCAAACGGUUCGUGUUUAUCGUUUUCGUGUAACACCUGUUAUCUUAACGGGUCGUGUCAUGUCUCAACCAUUAUCUUAACGGGUCCUUAACAGGCGACCCAUUUUGACCCAUUAAGAAAAAUAUUUUUUUUCUUAAGUUUGCACAUACCACAUAUUACCACAUAAAUAUUACUGCAAAACAUUAAAAUACAUUUGGCGUUUAAGUACUACAUCUAUACUCGAAAAUAAGAGUCUAAUAAACAAACACCCAUACACUACUACUCUAUUACAAAAUGUUAAAUGUGCAAGGAUAUGCAAAAUGAAAGAGUUUUUGUUUUCAAGGUUGUGAAACCUUUCUCAAAAGUUUAAACCUUGCCAAUGGAACUCAAAGCUUGCAUGUUAUUCCUUUUACAAAUCCUCAAUUUUCAUCGAUCAUCAUGACAUAAGAUUUUGUGGUAUCCACUUCUGUAAAUAUUUGAAAUUGACGAUCAAAUUAGUUCAUUGUAUUCAUAUAGGAUCAAGGAGUGUAGCUGUAAAAAAAUCAUCAAAAUUGGAGUUAAAAUAACUAUUAAAUCGUGAUUUCGAUAAAGGAGUGGAUACCACAAAAUCUUAUAUUAUACUUAAUGAAAGUAUAAAUAAACUCUAAGUGUUAGUGAAUUUAUCAUUUUGAUAGGAUACGCAUUCUACGAAACUAAUUUCAACUAUCCUACUGUCAAACUUGUUUGUAUAUGCUUCGAGAUCGCAUACGCCAAAAAUCAUAAAAAAAACAAAAAUUCAGAGAUCAAGUAAUGGGACAAAACUUUUCAACGGUUAUAAACGAAAAAUCGAUUUAACGGUUAUUUUAACUCCGAUUUUGAUGAUUUUUUUACAGCUACACUCCUUGACCUUAUAUGAGUACAAUGAAUAAACUCGAUCUUGAAUUUAAAAUAUUUAUACUAUUAAUGAAAGUAUAAAUAAACUCAAGUGUUAAUGAAUUUAUCGUUUUGAUGGGAUAUGGAUUCUACGAAACUAAUUUCAACGAUCCAACCGUUAAACUUGUUUGUAUAUGUUUCGAGAUCGCAUACGCAAAAAAAGAAAAUUCAGAGAUCAAGUAACGGGACAAAAUUUUCAAUGGUUAUAAACGAAAAAUCACGAUUUAACGGUUAUUUUAACUCGGAUUUUGAUGAUUUUUACAGCUACACUCCUUGACCUUAUAUGAAUACAAUGACUGAACUCGAUCUUCAAUUUAAAAUAUUGACACUUGUUAUACUUAAUGAAAGUAUACCCAUUCUAUAAAACUAGUUUCAACGAUCCAACCCUCAAAUAUGUUUGUAUAUACUUUGAGAUCGCAUACGCCAAAAAUUGAAAAAAAACAAACAUUCAAAGAUCAAGUAACGGGACAAAACUUUUCAACGGUUAUAAAACAAAAAAUCACAAUUUAACGGUUAUUUUAACUUCGAUUUUGAUUAUUUUUUAUAGUUACACUCCUUGACCCUAUAUGAAUACAAUGAAUGAAUUCGAUCUUCAAUUUAAAAUAUUUACACUAGUAAUCUUAUGUUUUACUUAAUGAAAGUAUAAAUAAACUCUAAGUGUUAGUGAAUCUAUCGUUUUGAUGGGAUAUGCAUUAUACGAAACUAAUUUCAAUGAUCCAACCAUCAAACUUGUUUGUAUAUGCUUCGAGAUCAGAUACUUGACAACGAAAAUAUCCUAACAACGUGGAAGAGACUCAUUUUCAUGAAUCAUACCGUUGCCUACUAAGUUUGUUAAUUAUGUCAAUACCGACGAUGACCUAACAGAUGAUGACUUGGAAUAAAUAUAUUAAUUAUUUUAUAUAUUUUAAGUAUUAGACUAUGCUUCAAUUAGUAUGUGAUGAUAUUUUAUAAUAAAAUUAUAUUUAUGUUUUUUAUUACGUAUUUCAUUCAAGUUAAAUUUUAUUUAUUAAAAUCUUAAAAUGUUAUAUGAGAUAACACAAAAAAAAAGUUGGUUUUUUUUUUCUUUGGGUUAAAUAUUAGGCAGGAAAUGGAUGGAUAUCUUGAAAUAUUAGGCUAGAAAUUUCCCAAACAUUAGGCGGGAAAUGGAUGGAACUCUUGAAAUAUUGGGCGGGAAAUUUCCCGCUUGUUUUGCACAGGCAAUAUGGGUUAAACUUAGUGUCGGUUUUAACCGACGCUAUAAUCUUUUAAUUUGACGCAAGUUUCAUUAAACCGAUGUGAACUUCAAAAAGUGUGUCAGAAGUUGGUGUCGGUUAAAACCGACACCAACAUUAAUUUAAACCGACGCCGUAUUUUCAAUAAAGAGUGUCAGAAAGUUGACUGGUUCAUUUAACUCGACGUGAAUAUCAGUAAAGUGCAUUAGGUUAGCGUCUGUACAUUUAAUUCGACACCAGUGGCUUUUAAUUCGACGUCAGUCAAUCCAUGUCGGUUUAAACUGACGCCCACUAAGUACCCAUAUUUAAACCCCUCCUUCCCAUUUCAUCUGUGCUUUCAUUUCUCCCCCAAUUUCAGUCUUUCUUCUUCUCCUUCCCCAUUUCAUCCGUGCGUCCCUUUCUUCCUCCUUUUCAGUUUUUCCCCUUCUCCUUCCCGAUUUGCUAUGGAUCACCAUUUUGAAGACCAACAUUAUGAGGAACUCCAAUUCGAAGAGGAAGAGCUCGAAGGUGGUUCAUUUUUAAAUUAUUAUGAUUAUUAAUUUUAGUUUCUGUUUUGUAUUUUAACUAGUUUUAUGCUUAAAUUGAAAAUUUAUUUUUGUUUCUUGGUUUUUAAUUAUUGUUUCUGUAUUUAUAAGGAUCAACUCAACGAAGACGCGAACCCUCAUUCCGAAUUGAAAAGAAAAACCUUGUUCAUUUGAUUCGUCUGGAAAAUGCAUUAGUGAUAAUUCUAGUGCAUUUUCAAAACAUGUAGCGGCAAAGGUUAGAGAUUACAGAAAUAUUCUGAUGGUGGCAUACUGGAAUAAAGAAAAAACAAAGGUAAAUGUUUCAUGAUUUAUUUUAUUAUACCUUGAAAUUUGUCUAAUAAAUUCUUUUAUUUUUCAGGAGAUUGCCGAAAAAAAUAAGUAUAAUCGGCAAUUGAAAACUAUGAACCACACAACCGGUUCAAAAUCUUUUGCAAGAGUUCGGAAAUAAUUUGUAUGAGUUGUACAUUUUUAGGAAUUACAGUUAAUUUUAAAUUUAAUAUAUAGUUGGUAGAAAUUUUAUUUUUAAACUGACGCCAAACAACUAAGACCAAAUUGGUGUUUAGCUCACACGCCAUAUUUAAAGCCUUUGUCGUUCUUUAGCCUAUAACGUGCGACCCUUUUCUCCAUUUACCAUUUAAAAGGCAUGACCUGCUUCCAAUUUUAAUUGUGGCAGUCAAAUCAUGUCUUCUCUUUGAAGAUUUCCACGCCACAGCAUCCAUACAAGUUGAACCUCAUUUGUUGUAACAUAUGACACAUAUAGAUAACAAAUAUGCUGUCAGAUAUGAUCGAAAUGCAAUGUAUCAAUGUGUAAAGUAAAUGCUAAAAGGUGUCUAUUCCGAAAUCUGUUGUUUCCAGAAUACGACGGGUCCAAGGUCUUCCCCUGACAGAUACAAGAGCUUCCCCUGAUAUUAUCAGUAUGUUGAGAGAGCCAGCUGUUGCAGAGAGCCUUGUUACGCUUACUUGGCCCUGCUGAUACCGGGAUUAUGCAGGCAUAUAUUCACUAGUAAGAUACGUUGCGUCGGCUGCUCCAUAUAAUCACUUGAACUUUCAUCUUACACCAUCAAAUUUACUAAAAUAUGAAAGUGAAAAUUCUGAUAUUUUUGUAUGUUAUAUGUUAAACAAUAAAAUUAAUUAAAAUAAUAAACCCAAAAUUUCAAUACAAGUACAGUUUUUUUAAGUGUAAAUCAGCACUUAUUCAUACAAUAUAUAUAUAUAUAUAUAUAAUUUACUUAAACCUGCCACUAAUUGUUGGGUCCACUCCACUUGAAUUUUAACGAUCCAAACCGUCUAUUUUUCAAGUUUCACUUCAGAUAUAAGCUUUUUCUAAGAACUUCUCUGAAUGCCAAGCUCUAGCUCAAGGUGCAGAGCCUCUUGGAAACUGAGAAAGAGUCAGACAUUUUUAUUUUGAGAAUUUGAGUCCAAGCUGACUGAUGCUGCCCAAAAGAGAGAUCUAGAACUGAGGCAUGAGAUGGACUUGGUAUUGUUAAGAGUGUGAAAGGUUGUGUUGUUAAUAAUACGAAGGGGUUCCUCGUAAGGAGGGUUUGGUGCUCUGUGGCUUACGAGAGCAUUCGAGAACUUGCGUCACCGUCACUCCGGCGUGGCCUGUUGUUUCUGGGGGAUUCAUUUCGACUCCCUACGGAAUCUUGGAGAUCGAGAGUGGACCUGAUUAAAGGAGAUCGAGGGGGGAUCUGACUGAGGAAGAAAUGGGCGAAUUCGUCUUAAACAUCGAGGGCGGAUCUGAUUGUGAGAGUGGGUCAGAAGGUCAGAGGCGAAGUGGUUAAAGGAAGGUAGAUCUGGUGGGAUCUGGCUGCUGUAGAGACAGGGAUAAAGGAUCUGGGUUCACGGUUCGGAUCCAAGCUAAGACUGUCUGAGAAAGAACUUGGGGGUAUCAGUAUUGAAAGAAAGGAUAUGGAAUGAGCUUUGGUGGGGUUCCAAUAUACCAUGAUUGCUGAAGUGCUUACAACUAAAGAGAUUAAGGGAGAGAUCUUUAUUGACUGCUUUAUGUCGCUAUGGCGGGGAAGGGAGGGAGUUUCUAUUAGGGAUAUAGGAGAAUGAAGGUUCCUGGCUCGAUUUGCAGGUCAACGUGAUAUGCAGAGGGUUCUGGAUGCAGAUCAACCUUGGUCCUUCAGAAAUGACUUAGUAAUGGUGGCGGAUAGAACUAAGCAUGGCCUAAACAGAUGGGCACCACUGUCUCUAGGUACCUUCUGGGUUCAAUUUCACAACGUUCAUGUGCUUAGUAUGACACAGGCGGUUGCAGACUCCAUCGGUGGACUGGUGGGAUGUGUUCAAAAGGUGGAUAAGUCGGGGAGUCAUGACUGCAUAGGAAGGUUUCUUCGGGUGAAAAUCAGGUUCAAUGUUCGAGAGCCACUAAUGUGAGGAACGUUUCUACGGUUCCCUGAUGAAGGUAAGGUCUAGGUUGACUUCAAAUAUGAAGCACUACCUAAAUAUUGCCUCAUCUAUGGGAUGUUAGGACAUGCCACACAAUUAUGCAAAGAUAGGCAGGUUGAAGAAAGAGGGGAAAUGGCUAGCUACGGGGAGAAGGAUGAGGAGUGUGGAUUUCAAGGGCUGGAUGCAAUAACGGAUCUUAGGGGAAAUCCUCUGGGUAAUGGGUCUCGAAGAAGGGCCUCCAUAGAUUCAAGUGGGAGAGGGAGAAGCUCGGAUGGAGGGCUGGAAGAUAGAUGUGUUGAGAUUGAUGGGGGAAGACGCUCUGGGCGCUCGUCGACGACAUCAGGAAUGGGUGGGCACCCUCAGUUAGGGAGAGCUAGAUCCCAUAACGGAAGUGAGUGCACUGCCUUGAUGGAGGAUGGUGUGGUUGAUACUGGAUCGUCGCGUAGCAAGCCCAAGUGGUCAUCAAGCAAGGGAGGCAAGGGAGACAAUAAACUUGCUGACAAAAUUCGUUGCCAGAGAAAGGAAGAGGAAGAUGCCAGAAGGGCUAGAGAAAUUGCGUAUGAUGCAGGGUCAAUUGGUCCAGGGGAUAUGGUAGCUGCUGGAGUUGAACAGGUUGUCCUGCUCGAGAUUCUAGAGGAGCUCAAUGGGGAGAUUAUGGUUAAUGUGUCAGCCGGUAUAAGUCAAAGCUUUGACCUUAAUUCUUUGCCGAUUACUGUUGACAGCUCCGCAAGCGGGAUAAUGGGACGGGGGGAGAAAGAAGGGGGACAAAUUUUGAAAAAUGGAAUGGUAGUUGGGGGAAGGGCCACAGAUGAUGACCCUUUUGAAUUGGCACCUAUUAUCGAAGCUGUGAUGAACGAGAACAAAGGGAGAAAGAGGGGGGCUCAAGAGGUAGAAUGCUCGGAGCCUGGUGGAAAUGAACCAAAAGCGAAUAGGCCAAGGAAAUGCUUAUUCAGAGAGGUCGGGGAGACUACCCUUGAAGGGUCUCCUAAGUACCAAUGAAGCUAAUCAUUUGGAACUGUCAGGGUAUCGGGGGUGACCUGACAGUUGACAACCUGUUGGAGUAGAAUCGGCUCCUCACCCCUGACAUUGUUCUACUAAAAACAAAAAACAAAAGUAGACGUUUUGAGUAUCUUCGAAGAAGGUUGGAUAUGGGUUUCAUGCACGCGGUGGAGCCUAAAGGGAUCGGCAGGGGCAUGUGUAUGUUUUGGAGGGAUGUUUCUAUGGUAACUUUGGUGAAAUCUGAGGAAUUUGUUAUUGAAGCGAGACUCUGGGAUGGGAAAAUCAAUAGCCACUAGAAGCUGUUUGCCAUUUAUGGUAGCACUGAUGAGAAAAAAAUGAGGGAGCAAUAGGGGAACCUAAGCAAAAGAUUUGAAAAUGAGAGGGACCAAAAACUAAUUUUCGGAGAUUUCAACGAUAUUUUGUGUAAUGAGGAAAAUGAAUGAGGUAACUACAGAGUGACUUCUAGUCUGAGGGAUUUUAGGGAGUUCGUGGCCAAAAACAAGCUAAUGGAUUUGGGCUUCGAGGGAUAUCCUUUCACAUGGAGGAACAAUCGGGACGCUUUGCCAAUCCAGUAGAGACUGGAUCGUGGUCUGGCUACAAUGGGUUGGAACAGCUUGUAUCCAGACUCAAAGAUCAAGAACGUGAUGUUGGAAGGAUCGGACCAUGCUAUGCUCUUUCUAACCACAGAGAAGGUGUGGCUGCGGAAUGGGAGGAGAUUCAUGUACGAUGCCAGAUGGAGUAAAAUGCAAGAUUGUCAUGAUCUGGUAAAUGAGGACUGGAAGGACAGGUUCAGAGGUUCCCAUGCCUUCAGAUUCUGUGAAAAUAUUAAAUCUCUCAGAAGGCGUUUAAAAGUCUGGUACAUAGUGAGAGGUAGGAAUUCUAAACAAGUCAUCGAGCUGCUGAAAAGUGAGAUAAGAAGUGCGUACGAAACCAAUGAUUUUGCCUCAGACAGGGUCAAAUAAUGGGAGUUUGAGUUGAGGUUUGCUCAAACAAAUGAAGAGAGUUAUUGGAAAGCCAAGUCAAGGAUCCAGUGGUUAAAGGAGGGUGACAAAAACAUGAAAUUCUUCCAUGACAAACUGUGAAGCGCCAGAAAUCCAAUCAAAUCCGAGGCCAGGAGGACCAGAACAGAGUAUGGUGUGAGGACAAAGCGGGAAUAUGCUCCACGGCGAUAUCCUACUUUACGAAGCUCUUUUCAACUAGUUGUCCUAUGUAUUGGAAUGAGCCAAACUGCGGCAUAGGGCUAGGGUGUCAAAUGAAGAUAACAUCGCCUUAAUGGCAAAGGUGACGGAAUAAGAAAUUAGGACGGCAGUGUUCCAAAUCCCUCCAACGAGGGCCCCAGGGCCUGACGGUUUCUCUGGCUGUUUUUACCAAGACCACUAGGGGACUGUUGGUUUGGAUGUUGUAAGGAUCAUCAAUGCAUUUUGGCACUCCGGUCAGCUCUUGAGGAAGCUUAACCACACCAAUCUAGUGCUUAUUCCUAAGGUGAAAUGCCCGAAAAAUAUGUCCCAAUAUAGGCCUAUUGCUUUGUGCAACGUUAUCUAUAAGAUCAUCGCAAAGGUCCUAGCUAAUAGAUUGAAGAAGGUGAUGAUUAUGGUUAUUAGUGAUAAUCAAUCUGCCCUUGUUGCUGGAAAACAUAUCCAGGAUAACAUUCUUAUGGUGCACGAAAUUCUGCAUUCGCUGACACAUCAAAAAAAUGAGGACCAAGAGGGCAUGGCUAUCAAGUUGGACAUGGCCAAGGCGUAUAACUGGGUGGAAUAAGGCUUCCUCCUAUCUAUGAUGAAAAAGCUGGGGUUUGAGUCAACGUUCUAUGGGUGGAUCAAGGAAUGCAUCUCCACUACUUCCUUCAGCAUUCUGGUGAACGGGAACCCGACUGGGUAUUUUACGCCGGAGAGGGGUUUGAGACAGGGAGAUCCCUUAUCUCCCUAUUUAUUUCUUAUUUGCACUGAAAGCCUAUCCAUGUUAAUCGGAAAGGAGUUGGAAAGUGGUGCCCUCCACGGGUUUAGGAUAAAGCCUAACGGGAUCCCAGUGACGCACCUGUUCUUUGCAGAUGACUCAGUAUUGUUCGGCAUCGCGUCGGAGGAGAAGGCGCUCUGCAUUGUUGAAGUGCUGAAGAUCUAUGCAUGUGUAUCCGGGCAAGUGGUUAAUCUAGAUAAAUGCUCUGUGGUCUUUGGGUCCAAAACCAAGUCUCGCCUAAAAAAAAAAAUAGUGGGAAUUCUAGGAAUUCAAUGUAAGGAUGGGUUUGGUAAGUACCUAGGGUUGCUUGCUGAUUUUGGGUUAUCAAAAAAAGCUGUUUUUGAAGAGGUUAGAAACAGAAUCGAGACCUGGAUGAUGGGAUGGGCUGAGCAAUUUCUAUCCCAAGCAAGAAAGGAAGUCUUAGUUAAGGCGGUGGCCAUGGCUAUGCCAAACUACGCUAUGAGCUGCUUUAAGCUACCCAUUGGGGUCUGUAGGGACAUGGAGAAAGGCAUCCAUAAUUAUUGAUGGAGGGGUAGUGAUCAAAGGAAGAGUGUCAACUGGAUAUCCUGGGAUAGGCUAACGAAGAAGAAGAAUGUUGGAGGCCUCGGUUUCAGAGACAUACAAUGUUUCAAUCUGGCUUUUCUGGCUAAGAUUGGUUGGCGGCUGGCCCAAAAGCCGAUGUCUCUCCUUGCAACGGUCCUCAGGGAUAAAUACUAUCCAGGUGGCUCUUUUAUGGCUGCAAGUAAGGGUAAGUGCUCCUCUUGGGGAUGGAAAGGCAUAUUUGAAGCCCGCCAUGUGCUAAUGCAAGGGCUAAUGUGGCGGGUGGGGGACGGGGCUGGUAUAAAUAUCAGGGAUGAUCCUUGGUUCCCUAAACCAUCUACAUUUAAAGUUAGGCCGCGGGUUGGUUUGCAAAGCACUUUGGUGUGCGAUUUAAUUGAUCCGUUUCUGAAAGAAUGGAAUGUGGAUCUGGUCUCAUCGGGUUUUUGACAAGGAGGAUGUUGCUACAAUCAUGGGGAUACCUUUGAGUAGGAUGGGAUGCGAUGACCGACUGGUGUGGCACUAUAAUAUUAAUAGGGAAUACUCGGUCAAGUCCGGGUAUGGAGUGGCGGUGAAUCUAAUGGAUAACGGGGCCCUGGGGAAAAAGGGAAGAGGAAUGCCCAGUGAUAAUACUAAGAAUCCUCAAGAGUGGAUGCAGAUUUGGAAGUUAAACGUUCCAAACAAAAUCAAGCUCUUCAUAUGGCGGUGCUACAACCAUGCUCUGGCUGUAAAACGUAAUCUGAAAAGGCACCACAUGAGGGUCGAUAACGUAUGCGGGGUCUAUGGUAUGGUGGAGAAUCAGAAAAUCAUUUAUUCUUCCACUAUGCCUUAAGCCAUCAGUUCUGGUUUUGCUCUCCACUCCAUCUUAACUCCCACGGUCUGGCAGGUAAAGAUUUCCGAGAAAGUUGGGGGAAUCUUUGUAAGCAGGUCAAGAAGUGCGGCCCUGCGGACGAGAUAUCGUAGGAGGUUGCCUAUCGCCUGUGGCAACUUUGGAAAAAUAGAAAUGAUAUUGUUUUUAACGGAGUAUAUCGGAGCCCCAUUGAAAUCCUAGAGGUGUGGAAGAAAAGCAUUUCUGAGUACAGAGAUGCCUUGGACUGGUCCGCCUCGGAUAAUCGCCUUGUGGAUGAUCUGCCUGUGAGGGUUGUAAGUUAGAAGGAAUCUUCUUGGAGGAAGCCGGAGUUUGGGACCAUUAAAGUCAACACUGAUGCGGCUUGGUGCAAAACUAGCCUUCGGGUAGGUGUGGGCUGGGUUUGCAGGGAUUUUGCCGGGUUACUUCAAGCAGCCGGCGACUCGGGGGUGAGCUUCUUCACUCUGCUGCCACUACUAAAGCGUGUGCAAUCCGGGAAGCUUUAUUCGCUUGUAUUGAGAAUGGAUUCGCGAACGUGGUAGUCGAGUCUGAUGCUAAGAUGAUAAUCCAAAUGAUUAGGAAGGAAGCAAAUUGGGACUGCAACCUUGAGUGCAUACUUGGUGAUAUUGAGAUUCUAGCUCGCAGGAUGACGUCGGUGAUGUUUUCCUAUGUGCCUAGGGAGAGAAAUUGUGCUGCUCACUCGGUGGCUAAGUAUGCUUUUAUUGAGGGUAGUAAUUUUGUCUGGGACUGUAUUGGCCCGGAGUUCUUAUUUAAUAUUCUCGCUAAAGAUGUAAACAUUCUCAUUCGUAUUUAAUAUAUUCUAUCUUUGGAAAAAAAAAAAAAAAAGGUUGUGUUGUUAGAGUUGGUAUUGUUAGGAGUGCAACGAGGUAAAUGUCUUAAGGUGAUAUAAGAAAUAAGAUUGUACUGUUUCAUUAAGAAAUUCUACAGUAAUACAAUUAGGUAAAUGUCUUUUUUGAUCAGAAGGUAAAUGUCUAAGGUGAUAUCUCUGCCUGCUCUCCCUCUAGACCUCUUUGUUUGUCUUUUUCGUAUUAUUAACAGGAGUCACUGCAUACGGAGCGUGCUGCCCAGAUCGAAUGGGCCCUUAACCAAACAGUUCUAGACAAGAUAGCCUUGAAGAAGGCUAAGGAUGAAACCGCUCAUGAGUGCCAAAAGGACCUUCAAUCUGCCUUUCAGGAUCGUUGAUACCUUGUCUGAGUUGAAGGCUAAGAGGGUGAGAGGAAAAAAGAGCUUAAGAAGUUGAAGGAGUACCUCAAGGAAUCCACCAGACGAAGUUAAAAGAGGCUGAAGAUUACCGUUAUUGCUGGGCAUAUGAAGACUGCUUGCGGAGGACGCCUCAUAGCUUAGGAUGGACAUGUUUGAGAUAUGGGUAAGAAUCAUUGCUUAAGGGGAGGAUGUGAAGUAUGAGUACCCUGAUACAGAUUAUUGGUAUAUAUUUUGUGCAUUCGGGGCCAGAAUUCGAGCCGCUAUUGGGGAGAAAGAUAAAACAUGUUUGAAAUGUGAGUAUCAUACAAUCCCAUAGGUCGUAACACUGGUUUGUAGUUAAGCUAUGGAUCAUAUGCAUAUUUUCCCCAACGAAUUGGUAAUGGAUAAUCAAACCUACCAAUGGUGGUGUGGGAUGCCAAUCAACAAAACUUAUGCUGUCAAAAAAGUAAAUCUCAUAGCAAACCCUGAAACAGAUUAUUGGUAUGUAUUUUGUGCAUUCGGAGCCAGAAUUCGAGCCGCUUGGGGAGAAAGAUAAAACAUGUUUGAAAUUUGAGUAAGUAUCAUACAAUCCCAUAGGUCGUAAAACUGUUUGUAGUUAAGCUAUGGAUAAUCAUAUGCAUAUUUUCCCCAACGAAUUGGUAAUGGAUUAUCAAACCUAACAAUGGUGGUGAGGGAUGCCAAUCAACAAAACUUAUGCUGUCAAAAAAGCAAAUCUCAUAGCAAAGUAGGAAAGCGACAAGGUGUGUACCUUGAACCUAGCUCACUUUGAAUUAUGCCUCAUUUUUUUCAUACUCUUAUUUUAUAUCUUUAAAAUUUCUCCCUUCAUCAUAUUCUCAGCACAAUAAAGGGAAAAAAAGUUUCUAUUUUCCUCCUAUAUCUAAUCUAAUGUUCCUCUAAUUCUUACGAUUGUGGAAAAAGUCAGUAGAUUGGAUUGAAAAGUUUUCUAAUUUCACUAGUUUAUUAGGUAAAAACUAGGGUUCUUUAGAUAUAAGCUCUUGAAACUCAUAUUUUUCAAAUAAAAACUCACCUAAUUUUAAACAUUCAAAUGACACCCAAAUUUCAAAUAGAUUGCCAUGUUGACAAAUAUAUAACCAACUAUUACAACACAUUUACAACUUAUGCCACAAAAUCCUAAUUUGGUUAAUAAAAAUUUUAUUACUCAUCCUAAUUGUGAUGAGCAAUUAAUCCAUAUGGAUAUUUUACCUUUCUUGUAUCAUAAAUAUUAGUAACAUAUAUAAAUUAAUUUACCAUGUUAAAAAUAGACACAUCUCGUACAAAAAAAAAAAAAAUUGAAUCAUGUAUUUACCUACAUAUAAAUUAAUUUACCUAUUUAUAAAAUAUUUAUACUAAUUCACCUACAUAUAAAUUAAUAUACCUACUUAUAAAAUAUUUAUACUAAUUUACCUACAUAUAAAUUAAUUUACCUACGUUUAAAUUAAUUUACCUAUUCCAAUAAAAAUUAGUGAUAUUAGAUAAUGUUUGAAUGUUGUGGGUUUGUUGUAGGCAAUUAAAUAAACUUGUAAUCUAAUGCCCAUAAAUCAUGUAGGUAAAUUAGACCUUUUAAAUUUUGGUCUGAUGGAAUAGGUAAAUUAGACUAUUUUGUAGGUAAAAAUUGCAUGGAACAUAUAGCUUUUGUGGAUUAGAGUAUAUAUUCAAUAGAUGAAGUUGUUUUAGGUUAAUUGUUGUGUUGGUAGGUAAAUUAACUUGUAUAUUUAAUGCACAAAAUCAUGAAAUUAGUAUUAUUAUUUUUCAAUCGGCACCUUAUAACAAUUUGAAAGGUAAUACAUUGAAUGAAUGGCAUGAAAUAUUUUUGAAAAAUAAAUAUAAUUAAUUAAAUGAAUAACAAGUAUCUGAUCCAAAACCUCAAUCCAAGUAUUAAUAGAGGUAGCUUAGGCAUUUGGAAAAUACACAAUUUGAAAAGUCAAACUUAAUUAAAGAAUUUGCUUAGUUUAAGCCUUAUCAAUGGCUUUAGUUAAGAAAACAAUAGGAGAUGAGUUUUAGGGUCUAGGGUUAGUGUCAAGGGUUAAUGUCAAACUUUCAAUAAAAACUAUAUUAAGUGUCUAAAGAAUUAGGAAGGCCUGAUUGUAUAUUUUUGUCGUAUGCCUCAGUUGCAUUGAUUUGAGACGACUCUAUCUUUGUUAAGAGUAUAAAUCUUACAUUAAAAAAAAGAGAAAUUAGGUUUACAUCAUUCUUUUUGCUAUUCCAUUGAUUAAAAUCCUAUUCAUUUUCAAUUUUUUAUCAAGAUCCUUGGAUAUUACACUAGUAGAAAAAACACUUUGCGUGAAGUAGGUACCUUCGUUGCGCAAAGUCAAAAAUCGUUGCCUAAGGGUUUGCACGACGCAACCUUCAUCGCGCACUAACCAUCACGUCAAGACGGUGAUUAUAGGGCAUGCACAACGAAUAAGUAACAUGCGUCGCUCAAAGACACUUUGCGCAACACACGUCAUACGUCGGCUUUGCGCGACACACGUCCUGCGUCGUGCAAAGUGUCUUUGCGAGACGCAUGACGGGUGUCGCACAAAGUGACUUUGCACGACGCACGUCCUGCGUCACGCAAACCCUUUUUUUUUUGUUUUGGUCAAAAAUAUUUUUUUUUAAUUUUUAAUAAAUAUUGUAAUUAAAUUCUAAACAAUAAUUAAUUAACCAAGCAAAAGUAUUUAAUUAUAAGAUAUAUGAAAUGUACAUACAAGAUGUCCAACAAAAAAAGAAAAAACUACAAGUAGUUUUCUAGGUUUGAUACAUUAGGCUACUAGGUAUCGACAUGACGAGGUGGCUCUAAGGUCGAAGGUGGAGUAAGAUGAAAAGCUGGUAGCGAGAUUUGGAGUCCAGAGAAGUAGCCUCAUUAAGGGGUGUAGGCUCCCCAAUCAAUGGAGCACUCACAGCUGGAGCAGUAGAUGCUGAUAAUGCGGGAGGUGCAUUGGUCACACUCCGACGACGAGUGAUCAACUGCAACAUCUAUACAUUUUUUGAACCAUAAAAAUAUAACAUUAGAAACUAAUCAUUUCUUGUAUUUGAAACUAGAAGAAAAAAGCAAAGAAAACUGACAUGAGGAAAUUAAAGUUGCUUUUGCAUAUCCAUGAGCCAUUAUAAAGAAAUAAUUGCAGCAUUAUGAAGUAAUAGCUUUUGCUAAAUUUGAUCAUUUACCCUUUAAGGAAAAAAAGUUAAAUUUGUUAUUUGCAAGCUAAAUCCUUCAUCUCAUGCUUACGAAAUUAAUGAUAAUUUCCUGAACAAAUUAAGCUAAAUCCAAUGGUAUAUAAAUAACGUAUUCCACAAAUUAUACGAUCCCAUUAAUUAACAACAAAAAGUAAAGAUCGAACUUUUUCAGUUAACACUAAUGGGAUAUUGUAUUGAGCUUGAGACUUACGAGUGAAGGGAGCAGGUACCAGCAGGUUCACAAGUCCGAUAAGUUUGCCACCAACGAGUUCUGGGAUUGCUGACGUGAUGACCUGCAAAAUGUAGAAAGUAAUUAAGCCAACACAAAUUAGAAACGUGUUAAUGCAUAGAAACCCAUGCUCCUGAAUUCAUACUUUUUACAGAGUAAAAUGCCAGAGUCUAGAGUCACAAACCUUUAAGCAGAAGACUGUUCCGACUUUGAAUUGCUAACGAAGCAAUCUGUUGAAUCAUUUGGAAGAGGAAAGUGUUGGUAAAUUGAUCGAGAAACUACCAUGUGAACGAAAAACUACCAUGUUGAUUCAAAACCUACCCAAUUAGUUAACAUGUUGAUUCAAAAUCCACAUAUAUAAUCAACAUAAGCAGACAUGUAUGGCUAAGUGGAAGUUAAAUUAAAAAGGAAACAACCAGAGCAAAAUUCCAAGAGUUAUUUGGAACAAGAAGCAGAGAUUGAAAAUAGAUAUGCCACUAGGUCACCCAACAAAAAAAAUACGAACCACAUAGAAUCCUAAUACAUUUUGACUUAUAACUACUGUAUAGAUACGCUAACAUAUGUGUGGAUUUAGAACAAGAAGCAGGUUUUGGUGAUUACAUGCCUCUAAAAAUGUGAUUCAAAUCCUGUUAGAUCAUCCAGUUAGAAAAACCUAGCAGAUCCAAGGGCAAAGAAACAUAAACAGGUGAAUAUUAAUGAUGACGAUGAUCAUAAUAAUUUUUAAAGAGUUCACAACAAAAAAUAGCAAUUGCUAAAUCUGUAUAACGAGAUAAAUCCACAUGGAUGGAGAAAACCCAUAACAAGUUGGGAUCAAGUCACAUAGGUUUUACCUUGGAAACUGAAUACUAAAUGAACAUUCACAUGCUCCUUGUGAAGUGGUGGUUUCAUUCUUCCUCGCCUCCUAUCACUUCCACCUUUUCAGUCAACAGAGUGAUGUUUGUGAAGAGAACCUCUGCACAAAAGAAAACACAACAGAUUCGGAAAACAUUUCAGUCACUAGAUAUGCAAAUUGACUAAAACUAGUUAUGUGUGCUCAGGUUUGCUCUCAUCACAUAACAGCUGCAAUGCAAACCAACUCAUGGAAGCAUGAAAUUUCUCAUGUAUGACAGUAGAAGAUGAAUGAUGCCAGGUUUAUGAUAUGCAAGACAAGCGACAAUUUGUAGUUGAAUGAUUAGAAAGCUAAGUGAAAGAAGCGUGUUUCUUAUCGGUCUUCUUGGUAAACUUAUAGCCUUCGCACUAACAUAGGUACGAGGGGCUGGCACCAAGCGGUUCUGCAGGCAUUCCCUGUGUCUCCUGAGCCUACAAAAAUGUACAAAAAAAAUUUGUAUCAAUACGAAAUUAAUACUCUGUUUUUCCCAUUGAAACAACAAAUCUUAAUUAGUUAUCACACAACCAUCAACAUUGCUUACAAUUCCCAAGUCAUUGAAAAUUCUUACAUAGCAUAUUGCUUCAGUUACAAGCUUUAUGCCUUCAUCCCCUCUGCAUCAAAGUAAAUACCCAGAAAUCCAAAUGGGGACGUCACUGACUCACUACAAAUAACCAUAUAAUAGAAUACUAUUACAGGUAUAAAUAUGCAAACGCUAUAAAAAAUGCUAUUAAAGGCAUAAAAUACUAUUUGAUAGCAUUUUUAAGAAAAAAAAUGCUACAAAUGAAUGCUAUUACCUAUUAAAGAGGGUUUGUGGUGUAGUGAUAAACACACGGUGGCUCAAUUCGAACUCCCCAACGAUGCCCCCGCCACCAAUUCCUUGGUGCCAUGAUGAGGGAAGUCAUACCACCUACUCCUAAACUGUAGAAAACUAUCCAGGAAUUCAUGCAACUAUUUAUCACUAGCCACUGACAAGAAUGGGGCAACAGCAACACAAAAACAGUGAAAAUAUUAUCAAGAAAUUGAUUAUUCAGUGUGAAGUUUCCAGCUUUUGCAAGUCAAGAUGUAAAUGACAUAGCAGUAAUUUUACCUUGUCGCCGAAACCUUAGGUUUAACUUCAGCAAGCCAUAGAGCUCUCUGUUAAGAAGAUCCACCACUCUCCGCAACUCCAGGGCGUUCAUUCUGCCUUCGUCGACGCCGAGCCCAGCCACCACCGCCUCAUCCUGCGGCAAGUAAUUUACAAAAUUGCCAACCUAAGCUCUGCAGCGGUGUAAGUUUCAGCAUUGGAUUGCGGCUUGGACAUUCGCGUGGCGGCCCGUCGAUUAGAACGAGAGGGUGAGAGACAACCAACAGAGUAGUUGUCCACCAAAAAAUAAUUACAAGACGACACGUGGUUUUUUGGGAAAAAGAUGACAAAAAUACCCUUGAUGUAUAACGGGAUUCCUACGCGCAAGUAGCGGGCAAUCAUCCUUAACCAAGUCAAAAAUGCUUCAAAAAGGUAACCAAUUCCAAAUUAUCUCAUCCAUCCUCAUUUAAGGUAAUUCCCAAAAUCUAAUUUAUUCCAUUUAACUAAUCAAUUAGCUAAAUAAUAUAUUUUUUCAUAUUUCCUAAAAUCUUCCUUUAAAAUCAUAAUAAUUGACUAAUUAAGGAAUUAAUUCCUAAUCAAUUCCUUAAUUGUCAAUUAAAACAUCCAUUCAACCCCAAAAACAAGUGAAGGGCCGGCCACCUAUUGUUAGAAAAGGAAUUGGCCAUGUUUUGUUUAUCUCUUGAUAUUUGCCCAUUUCAUCCCAUUAAUUAGCUAAUUCAUUUGGUAAUAAUUUUAUUUUGCCAAAUUAAUUAGUCAAUUAAUCACAUAACUCCCAAAAUCAUCUUAAAUCAUGAACAAAACCCACAAACAAGGCUAUGUGGCCGGUCCUCUCUCACCCUAAGAGGCCGACCACUCCUCUAUAAAAAGCCCCACAUUUCUCACCAAAACCUAGUUGCAACUCUUGCUAAAAUUCUCUAGAAUUCUCAAACACUUUUUCUCUCUAAAUUCUAACUUUGGCAUCGGAGGUUCUUCAGCCAAAGCCCCCCCCAUUCAUCUUGGGCGCGUGAGGCUUUUGGCCUUAACCUAAGAUGCUAGUUGUUUUGUAGGUGCAAAAUUGUCCAAGAUCGAGAAGGAGAAAAUUUGCAUCCACAGUAGUGGUGGUGGUUGGAUUCAAGAUUGUGAAGAGGAAAGAGAGAGGGAGAGGAUGAGCGAGAGGGAAGAUUUGGUUCAAGAUUUGGGGUUCACGGGAAAGAGAGAGGGACGGAUGAGCAAGAGGGAAGAGAAAUAGGGGUUCAAGAUUUGGGGUCCAAACUUGGAAAAUUGAAAAAACAGCGCCUAUUUUUCACUAUUGCACCGCCAAAUUUAUCACAACUAGCGCGACCCAGGUAUACAAUUUGACCUCGUGCAAAGUGGUUUUGUGCGACGAUCACAUUAAGGCGUCGCGCAAGGGAUUUUUUUUAAAAAAAAAUUACUAUAAAAAUGACUGAAAAUGUGACUUUUCUCCUUUCAAAUUCAAAUUUUUCUUUACAUAAACCCCACAAUAAUUUUUUUUUAAUAUAUAUCAUUCAAUUUCUUAAGUGUUAUACGCAUUGUAUGAAACUAGUUUUAAAGAUCCAACCGUCAAACUUGGUUGUAUAUUCUUUGAGAUUGCAUGUGCCAAAAAUCACAUAAAACAAACAUUCAGCUAUCAAGUAACGGGACAAAACAUUUUGAUGGCUAUCAACAAAAAAUCACAAUUUAACGGUUAUUUUAACUCCGAUUUUGAUUAUUUUUUAUAGCUACACUCUUUGAUCCUAUAUGAAUGCAUUAAAUUAAUUCGAUCAUCAAUUUAAAAUACUUACACAAGUAGAUACCACAAAAUCUUAUGUUAUACUUGAUGAAAAUAUUAAUAAACUCUAAAUGUUAGGGAAUCUAUUGUUUUGAUAGGAUAUGCAUUGUACGAAACUAAUUUCAACGAUCCAAUCGUCAAACUUGUUUGUAUAUACUUCAAGAUCGCAUACGCCAAAAAUCACAAAAAACAAACAUUUAGAUAUCAAGUAACAUGACAAAACUUUUCGACGGUUAUAAAAAAAAAAUCACAAUUAACGGUUAUUUUAACUCCGAUUUUGAUGAUUUUUUACAGCUAUAAUCCUUGACCCUAUAUGAAUACAACGAACUAAUUCGAUCUUUAAUUUAAAAUAUUACACAAGUGGAUACCACAAAAUCUUAUGUUAUACUUGAUGAAAGUAUUAAUAAACUCUAGGUGUUAGGGAAUCUAUCGUUUUGAUGGGAUACGCAUUGUACGAAAUUAAUUUCAACGAUCCAACUGUCAAACUUGUUUGUAUAUACUUCGAGAUCGCAUACGCCAAAAAUCGCAAAAAACAAACAUUCAGAUAUCAAGUAACAAGACAAAUCGUUUCGAUGGCUAUAAACGAAAAAUCACGAUUUAACGGUUGUUUUAACUCUGAUUUUGAUGAUUUUUUACAGCUACACUCUUUAACCCUAUAUGAAUACAAUGAACUAAUUCGAUCGUCAAUUUAAAACAUUUACACAAGUGGAUACCACAAAAGAAAAAGGCAAUGCAAGAACCCCAAAAGAAAAGCAAAAGGGGCAAAAAAAAAAAAAACUUUGCGUGACGCACAAAACGUCGCGCAAACGGCCCUUACGCAACGGCACUUUGCGCAAUGAAGGAUGCGUCGCGCAAAGAUGUUUUGUGCGACGUAGGUGCACCUGGGUCGCGCAAAGUGCCGUUGCGCAAGGGCCGUUUGCACAAUGUCUUGUUUUGUACGUCGCGCAAACAUACUUUACGCGACGAAAUUUGCUCCGUCGCACAAGUUUCCAUCGCGCAAACAUGUUUUUCUACUAGUGUUAAUAACAUCAUUAAUUAUUUGAAUAAUAAAAUAUUUUUACUUUUAAAUAUAUUCCUUUAGUGUUAAAAAUGUUACAAUUAGUAUAUUUAUAUUUAUGGCUAAAUGUUUUAUCAUAUAUUUUUAUUUUUAGUUUGUACCUAUUUUUAAUUUGUACCAAUUUUUUUUUCAUUUUUAAUUUGUACCCAUAUAUUAGUUUCUUUUUGUGCCCAUAUUUUUUAAAGUUUUAUUUGUGUUUGUACCCAUGUGUAUACCAACACGUGAUAUUGUAUAUUUAAUCAAUAAUAGAAAAAUUACAUAUGGUAUAUUUAUGUUUUAUGCCUAAACUUUGUAUCAUAUAUUUAUAUUUUUAGUUUGUACCCACUUUUAAUUUGCAACAUUUUUUUUUAAAUUUGUAGUACUUUCUUUUUAGUUUUAUUUUGUACCCAUGUAUUAAUUUCUUUUAGCAUUUAUAUUUAAAAAAAAAUCAUUUGUACUCAUAAUUUUUUAAUCUUUUAUAUGUACCCUAAUUUAUUUAUAAUGUACCCAUUCUUCUUUAUUAAUGUACCACUUUGUUAUAUGUGAAAUGUACCAAUUUUUUUUUUUUUAAUGUACCAAUUUUUUUAACACUAUGGGUACAUUCUUUUGCCAUUAUUAUUUCUUAUUUUUACAUAUUUUUUUAUCCAUUUAUUCAAUCAAAAUGUUUGAAUUUUUUUAUUGUAAGUGUUUCUAAUAGUAUUAUAAUGAGGGAUUUUAAAUUUAUAGGAUUAUAAAUCUCACAAAAUAUCAAACAAUUAAUGUCAAAACUAUAAAAAUAUAAAUAUUAAUUGUAAUAUAAUUAGGUGUACAAAGUUAAGGGACUUUGAUCAAACUUUGAAUAUCGUUAAGGUUUUAGUUAAAGAAUGUUAAGGAUUAGGGACCGCAUCCAAAGUAUCCCUUAAAAAAUGAGAGACAUUGCAUGUGCUUAUAAAGAGUUGGGUUACUCAUCAUAUUGCCAAUUGGUUUUAUGGUAAAAUCUUAAUUUUCUUCGCUCUAUCAGAGCAAGUUAGUUAUUGUGUCAAAGCUCAAUAGCUAACUACACAUGUUUCACGCCACCCAAUUUAGAUUUGAGUUUUAGUCACUUCCACUUUUGUCUUCACGAAUGAACGAUUGAUAUUUAACUAAUUGAUUUUUUUUUCACUUGUUGAGAUUUAACUAAAUGAGCUUGUGAACGGGUGAGAUUUAAUUUGUGAAAAGAAAAUUUGCAAGCAAGAAUUUCCAAAUUGAAGUUUAGGGUAAAAAUAAUUCGUGUAAUAAAAUUAGCAAUUAAAAUUUAAACCAUAUAUAUAAUAAAUUGAUACCAUAUGGAUAACAACAAGCCUACUAAAGAAAAGAGAUGAUCAUAAACAUGACUUGAUCAUAUUCCCCCACUAAAUUAUCAUUAGGAUUGUACGUAUUUCAAAACAAAACUACAUUUAUAGAAUUUUAUUGUAUUAAUAUUAUACAACCAUAUUAGAAUAGCAUAACUCUCUGGUUUUUAUUCCAUUAAGCACACAGUUCAGACGAUUAAAGAGAUGCCUUCGUCUGUAUAGGAAUUUUGUCUGUCACUUCUAGUAUCAUCUCAAACGCAUUUUUCAAGCAUGACUUGAACUUUUGAGGAUCAAUAAAACCCUUCUGAGUUCCAAAGGAAAUCCUCAAGUCACCCAUAUAACUGACUAUUGUUAUGAUAAUGUCCUGCAAAACCAUCAAAAUCUCGAAACGUUUAAUAAGAUGCGUUAACUUACAGAGAGAAGCACACUGCUCUAACUUGACCUGUAUUAAUUACAUAUGCUCAAAAUCGGACACAUCAACGUACUAUAAAUAUAUACUUAACGACGUACCUGAGGUAUACCUAAAACCAUAAAGUAUACACCCUUGAUUGGAUGAUCAGCCAAAGCUAUUUUCUCGACAGGCCCUAUCAUAUUUGAUAUCAUGAGGCUCGACUUCAUCAGUCUGUUGUGCAUGUAUCUUGAUGCUGCCUGCAACAUCAAUACCAUUUCAAGGAGGAUUACUUUAAUUAUACCAUAUGUAUGGUUGAUGUUGUUUGCAACAUCGACCAUAAAUACAAUAUGUCUACGCAUAUUAUAACACAUGAAUUAAUAAAACCACAUAACAACAUGGCCAUCCUCAUACUGAAAGUGUAUUGAGAGAUGAUUACCCACCUCAUGGCCUCUAAGCUUGCUCACAAUUUCAAAUAGCUUGUUAUAGAAAUAAACAGAAAAAGAACUCCUCUUCCUCUUAAUACGCUUUUGUGCUUCGAAGACGAAGUCCAGCGGGUUCGAGAUUUCAGUUAAAUUGGGCAUGGAAACCGGCAUGAAAGCGAUUCGGUUCCCCCAUGGCAUCUCAGAAUUGGGUCCGAUCAUCUGCUUCACCGGCUUGUAAUCACCAUGAGUGAUCCUAGUAUUGACCAACACCAGCGCUCGGCAGCUUGCUGCGCUGCUUGAUUUUUGGUUAUUAUUAAUAAUCUCUUGCAUGUACAGUCUAGUAGCAAAGAACACUAUUCCACAUGUCACAUCAUUUAUCGUCUGCCAUAGCAAGACAAGAAAAUAUUUCGAUCACACAAAAUGAUAUAUAUGAACAAAAAAAUAUAGCGACCUAGCUAAUUAUAAUCACAUAUAGUAUCUUACCACGUUGAGCUUGUUCUUGAUUAGUUUGAUUUCAUCAAGGGAGAAUAUCAAGCUUGAUAUAUCCAUUGGAAGAAACUCAACUCCUGAAUUCCCAGAUCUUAUCGGUGUUCGAUCAUCUUCAACGAAAGCGCUCCAACCCAAAUCCUUCACAGCAUAAAAAGCUGAGGUCAAUUUCUGAGACACCCACCUCAAAGCACUCUUAUAAUAAUUGUCAAGUCCCUUUCUCUCGGAACCUCGGCGCGACGGAAAAGUUAGAGGAAGAGAAGGAUCGUCAGCUCUUUGCAGACAAGAAAGAAAAGCACUCAUGAAGGAGUAGCCAUCGCCAAGUGCAUGGUGAAGCUUGAAUAUUAGGUUACCCGCUGCAGUGGAAGUUGGAUAUUUGAUUAUGUGAACUUCCCACAGUGGUUUGUCUUCUGGGUAUUUCCAGUACUACUUUUGAUAUGUAGUCACCGAGAUAAAGGUCGUAAGACUCAGGUGGCAAUACUCCAGAUGGAAAAAUAGGGACGUGAACAUGAUCUGUGAGCUUCACCUCAACCUUCUUCCAUUGUUUCUCUCCGUCG
rnacentral:lncRNA from 1 species